rnacentral:lncRNA from 1 species
GGUGGAAUAUUGUUUGAUCCAAAGGCUAUUAAUAAUUAAGGAGUAGAUCCAAGGGCUAAAAACUUAGAAGCACCAAGAAGGUGGUGCUUCUAAAAGUAUUCUAGCUCAAUUAUAUAUAUAUAUAUAUAUAUAUAUAUGUAUAUAUAUAUAGUCCGGCUACUAUACUAUCAAUAGUAGCAAGUCCUUGGUACUAUUGAGUUUUCUAUCGUUAGAUCCACGCUUUGAUCAUUUUCAUCCGUUGGAUUAUACUAUUAAACCAACCACCGACUCAACCCUAGGGGACCACUAUCAAUUUAACCGAGGACCACUAUCAUCCUAACCGUACAUCCUUUCAUCCAACGGCCGAAAACUCAAUAGUACCAAGGGCUUGGUACUAUUGAUAGNNNNNNNNNNNNNNNNNNNNNNNNNCUACCAAGUUGUUUUCAAUGAUGCGGCUUCCAAAUCGACGAUCGGCUCCGUUAGACUUGAUCUAUACUAUUUAAAGUAUUUGAAAAUUAAUUUUUAUAAUUUUUCGGCAUCAUUUACCUAUCAAACAAGUAGUCUAAAAAUGAACGGCUGAAAAUAAAAAUUUUAUAAAAAAUGAUGAUAAAAGACUUGAAUUUAAGAUCAGAGGUACUGAUCUUACUCUAAAUGGUGAAAAGAAUUUUCUAUAAAAAUUUCAUCAGAUUUGGAUUGUUUUACACCGUUAAAUUCACAAACGCAUCACAUCUACCAUUAAAAUUGUCAAUUUUGAGACCUUUUGAUCACUAGCCAAAUGAUGUCGAAAAAUUAUGAAAUUUAGUUUCCAAAUACUUUUAAUAAUGUAGAUCAAGCCUAACGGAGCCAAUCGUCGAUUUGGAAGCCGCAUCAUUGAAAACAACUUGGUAGCACGGAGGCCUCAGUGCUACCGAUAGUAUACUAGUCUAGCUCUCUCUCUCUCUCUCUAUAUAUAUAUAUAUAUAUAUAUAUAUAUAUCUAUAUAUGUAUAUAUAUAGAGAACUAGGUUGGAAUACUUACCAAUAGUACCAAGCUAUCGGUGCUAUUAGGUUUUCGGCCCUUGGAUGAAGGAAUGUACGGUAUAGAACUAGGCUGGAAUACUACCAAUAGCACCAAGCUAUCGGUGCUAUUAGGUUUUCGGCCCUUGGAUGAAGGAAUGUACGGUAUAGAACUAGGCUGGAAUACUACCAAUAGCACCAAGCUAUCGGUGCUGUUAGGUUUUCGGCCCUUGGAUGAAGGAAUGUACGGUUAGGAUGAUGUGAGCCACCUAGGGUUUAGUAAGUUGUUGGUUGAAUAGUAUAAUCUAACGGGUGAAAAGAGUCAAAAGGUUAAAUCUAACGAUGGAAAACUCGGUAACACUAAGUGCUUAGUGCUAUCAAUAGUAUCCCAGCCGGACUCGAUAUAUAUAUAUAUAUAUAUAUAUAUAUAUAGAGAGAGAGAGAGAGAGAGAGAGAGAGAGAGAGCUAGGCUGGUAUACUAUCGGUAGCACGGAGGUCUCCGUGCUACCAAGUUGUUUUCAAUGAUGCGGCUUCCAAAACGACGAUCGGCUUCGUUAGACUUAAUCUACACUAUUGAAAGUACUUGGAAACUAAAUUUCAUAAUUUUUCGACAUCAUUUACCUAUCAAAUGAGUAGUCUAAAAAUGAACGGUUGAAAAUAAAAAUCUCAUAAAAAAUGAUGAUAAAAGACUUGAAUUUAAGAUUAGAGGUACUGAUCUUAUUUUAAAUAGUGAAAAGAAUUUUCUAUAAAAAUUUCAUUAGAUUUGGAUUGUUUUACACCGUUAAAUUCACAAACAUAUCACAUCUACCAUUAAAAUUGACAAAUUUGAGACCUUUUGAUCACUAGUCAAAUGAUGCUGAAAAAUUAUGAAAUUUAGUUUUCAAAUACUUUUAAUACUAUAGAUCAAGUCUAACGGAGCCGAUCGUCGAUUUGGAAGCCGCAUCAUUGAAAACAACUUGGUAGCACGGAGGCCUCCGUGCUACCGAUAUAUAUAUAUAUAUAUAUAUAUAUAUAUAUAUAUAGGAUAGGGCUACUACGCUACUAUACUCUUAUGAGUAUAGAGCCCUUCGUACUCAUAAGUUGUUUUCGAUGUUGGAGUUUCCGAAUCGACGAUCCACACUGUUAAAUAUGAUCUAGAGUAUUUGAAACUUCUAGAAAAUAAAUUUCGUAAUAUUUCGAAAUCAUUAUGAAGUCCAUCAAGCGGAUAUAAAAUAAACGGUCAAAAUCGAACGACGUCCUAAAAAUGGAUGAUUGGAUCCUUCAAUUUAAGAUCGGGGUUAUUGAUAUUUAUCUAGGUAAUGAAUAGAAUUUUCUAUCAAAGAUUCAAGCUAUUCCGAUUCUUUUACACCGUUAAACUAGCAAAUAUCACAUAUCGGUCAUUAAAAAUUGUCAAUUUUGUGAGCUAUUGAUCAUAAGGUAAAUAAUAUCGAAAAAUUAUAAAAUCUGAUUUUUAGAAGUUUUAAAUGCUCUAGAUAAUGUUUAACGGUCUGGAUUGUCGAUUCGGAAGCUCUAUCAUCGAAAACAACUUAUGAGUAUGAAUACGAUCGUACUCAUAAGAGUAUAGUAGCCUCCGUGCUACCGAUAGUAUACCAACCUAGCUCUAUAUAUAUAUAUAAAGUCCAGCUAGGGUGCUUUCGGAAGUUGCAACUUCCAACUUUUGGGCCUUUGGAUCGAUAAUAAAACCACCACCAAAUAGUAAACCCCGGUGAUCCAAGGGCCAAAAUGUUGGAAGUAGCAUAUUUCCAAAUGUACUCAGCGUACGCACAUGCACUUGAAGUUAAAUAUCUAGCUGCUCUGGUUCAAGUUAGUAACGUGAGAUUGAUUUUUUUUUUUUUUUGCGUCUUUUUUAUAUUAUUCUGAUUGAUAGCAUAAGGAACUCACUUUUGUUUCUUUCAUCUAAAGCUAAGUAUUUGUUGCCAUUCAUGCAUAGUUCAAAUGCAAUUUAGUGCCUUAUGGAUUAGUAACCAAAAGAUUAGAGGAUUGCCAUCUUCUACUAGGGCCAAAUGCAGUUUGAAUGGUUGCACACGUUUUGUCUAUUUGUCAAGUUUUUCAGGUAGGUCUCUAGUUCCUCUGGAGUUGAAUGUAACGGUUGCUUACCUUCUAUCCUGAUAUUAGUCUUAGUUGAGAAGUUUUCACAAGCAGCUCGCUGGUUUUUCUCUUUUAAUAUGUUCCAGGAACCUAUCUCAGCAUUAGCUUCUGACUACCCAUCAGAGAGCACUAUGAUACAGAAGAAAAUUAAGGUUAACUACUCAUAACCAUUUUAACUUGAAUCAAUUAUCCUUUUCAGGGGUUUGAUUUGAGUUUCAUUUAUAACUAAAAUGAUUCUAUGGAACAGCUACUUGAUGAAAAAUAUGCUUCCUUCAGACGAAUAUGUGGAGAUGGCAAUUGUUUCUAUCGAAGUUUCAUAUUUUCCUACUUGGUGAAUUCUGGGUUUCAACACUCAAUAUGUUAGUUUUCUUUGGCUUCUCUGCUCAUGUAGACUAAGUUGCAACAUGUAUAACAGGAACAGAUUGUCGAAAGGCAAGAUGAAGAUGAGGUUUGUCGGCUGUUUGCACUUCUCGAACAAUGGAAAUUGGAUUGUGUUAGUCUUGGAGAGGAUGGAGGAACCGUUUCUGAUCUCUCUCGCGUAAUUGCUUCUUCCUUAAUCCGAUUUAUAAACAGUUGUUGUUUUAUAACCUAGCAUUUGGGCAUAUUAUUUCUUUGAAUUGGUUACAAACUAGUCCCUUAAAUUUGAGCUUGAUUUCAACUACAUUCUUAGAGCUUCAAUUUUAGCAAAUUAAUUCUCAAAGUUUAACUGGCAUGGUCCCUUCUUUUAGUCUACCUUCUAAAAUGUCAUCAUGUUAACCACAUCAAUGCUAGUGCUAGUCUCAACAAAAAAGAAAAAGAAAAAACAAUGUCAUGUCAGCAAACUCUAUUGAUUAUGUUGAUUCAACAUCUCUUUUAGACAGCGGAUUUUGAAAGGAUUUAACUAUUACGCUAGAUGAACUUCAUGGUUUAUAUCGUUAAAAUGAAGCUUUAGGGAUGUAAUUGUGACCAGGGUCAAACUUAAAUUAUGAUUUCAAUCCACCCUAUUUCUCGUGCUUACUGUGCACUCCCUAUUCUGAUACCUUAAGAAUUCAUAUAAUUCUCCCUCAUCAUCGUUGGGAUGCCAGAAAUGAAAAUCAAAAUCAGAAUAGUUUUGCAAGUGAAGGAAAUGCUCAUGCACAACAAACUCAGAAAAGAUUAUUUAACGUGUGUACACAGAACUACCAAUUAGGUGACAUAGGAGUUUGAGUGUGAUAGGUUUUAUCCCACAUUGGAAUGUAAUUAAGAGAGUGAAGGAUUAAUAUAUCCUAUUGAGCCCAAACCUAACAACUUUGGCUUUUAAUUUGGGCUUGGAAUUUAGAUAAUGGAGUGCUAUUUAGAUAAUGGAGUGCUUUUACUUGCUCUGUGACUUCGACUAGCUUUUUCAUGUCUAUUCAAAUCUAAACGUGGUAGAACGGCUCAGCUUUUCAAGUCCUAUACAAGGUUCUAUGCUAUUAAAAUAUUAUUAUCUAUCAUUUCCAGUUGAAAACAAAGUGCAAGAAUCUUUUAUGAAGAUUGAGGAAGAAAGGAAAUUGUUGUGAUCCGGGGUGCAAUUGUUCUCCUGGUCAGCGUUGUAGUAGUUGGCACCUAGUUUAGAUGGACAAGGGCAUGGGCCACAGAAUGUUACAUGACUAAGCUGCAGGAGAUGAUCAACUUUGAAAGCAUUAGCACAUGGCAUGAUCUGGACAUGGCAAAUGAAUAGCAUAUUGUUCUUUAAAAAAAAAAAAUCCCUAAAAGAAUAAGCUUAAUUAUUUGUGUUUUAAAAAAAUCCUUAUCUAGAACAUUCUUCUUAUUAUUGUCAUUUUUUUUAAAGAAAUGACAUUAUUAUUGUUGCUUUAUAAUCUAUAGAAAUCAAUUGGACUUCCGUACAGAUAAAAAUUGAAAAAUUGUACCAGUUGAGAAUUUGGAAUAUAUCUUGGAUUCAAUGGAAUGGUCACAAUAGAAGGAAAAAUAUUUGUAUCACCUGGCACUUGAAGUACUAGAUCGAAAAGAGCAAAAAAUCGAUGACUUUAUCCUUUCACAUCUUAUGUUUAAUAUGUCAUCAACACACUUUGAACUUGAAAGAAAUAUACUUGAUCAUGAGGGACAAGCAACCUAGGAAACACAUAUAUUUCAGUUGUGUUCAGGAUGUUUUGUGCCAGAUACAUAUCCUACGAUAGCAAGACACUACCAACACAUAUCUGACAUGUUCAAUUUGUGUUUUUAAGUUGUGUCAUGCCCAUAACAUGUCUGUUUGUCCUCCUCAUUCAACAUGUUCCAUAGCAUGUCUGUUGCAUAUGCCCUCAGGAUCAAGGACAUCCAUUAUUAUAAUUAAUUAAACCUAAUAUAGUUAUUAUUUUGUUUUAUAUAUUUGUCAAAUCAGGAAUAUCAAUUUCUUUUGAUAAGUGAAGAAAUUAUUAUGAAAAUGUUAUUUCUUUUAGAAACGUAAUGAGAAUGUAUUUAGUUCGACACUUUUUCUUCUGAAAAUUAAUAUUUUCAAACUUAAUAUUAUCAUUAACAAUUUCAGCGCGUUGUCUGUAUCCUAUAUUUUCAAAGUUGAAUGAGUCGACUGUGCGUGCUCUUUAGUCCCUUGUCCUUUGUCUGUAUCUGUGUGCCUAGCAUGCAACAAACAUGCGAUCGACAUGUGAUAUUAGGGUGGAGGAUAGUUGACAUAUAAUGGACUAGUAACAAACAUUUUCCCUGUGUCAGCCUAGGUAACUUGUCCCACAUGGACAUGACAAGGGCACAGGCAUUUUUGAAGUGUCUGUGUUUCGCAUGUUGGCACCAAUUUGCAGGUUUCUCCUCACAUUUAGUGAUUGAGAGAGUGGAGAUUCAUGUAUUCUGCUCGUGUCAAAUCUAGUGGCUUUAGCUUCUGGACUGGGUUAGACUUCAAGAGGCGUGUUAGGUCCUAAGUUGGAAGCGGGGUUGUAACCCAAAAUAACUGAUAGGUGAUGGGAAAUCGUGUUAUGGGAUCAAACUAUUUGAAACAAAAGAACAUGUAAUAUGUGUUAAAUGUUGAAGCGUCAAAACAAGCCAUUAGGCUGUUCUCUUGAUGUGCAAUUGUAGUGUUUCAGCUGCUCUUUUGACAAGAAAUUUUCCCAGUGCAGAGUUUUCUAUAUGGGCAAUUGCUUUUCAUGGAAUCAACUUAAUUUACAGUGCAUAUAUCACUGCUGAUCACAGUGAGCUCUUGAUUCAAGUUCCUAUUAUAAUUUUAAUAAAAUUCAAUAGAUUUUCUAGAGAACUAAGCUUUUAUAUGAUGAACUCGAAUUCUUUUUUCCCAAUGUCACAAAAAGAAAAGAAAAAAGACACCUAUAAAAGUAGAUCAUUUGGACCGGAGGUUUAAAUAUAUCAUAUGUGGAUGGUUUCUCAAAUUGGGGUUGUUUUCUUCUUCUUUGGUCUUUUGUUCUUCUGUCUGAUGCUUUUCUAUUUUUUUUUUGCUUUCAGGUGUUUGCUUCUUUGCUGAGAAAAAUUUGUGGAGGGAGAUCAGCAAAUGAGAUGUAUACACAUUCAGAUCCCUGUUGUUUAGGAGCUGUUCAAUUGUUUUCUUUUCUAUUAUUAUAUAUUCAACUGUUCCAUCUGUAGUUUAACUAUUCGAGAGCUGUUGGAGAGAAGUCAGAAAGUGAUAGAAACAAAUGCGAGUGAGGAAUAUGAUUCAGUUAUUCUCUUUUUUUUUUUUUUCCUUCCUGCCAUCAUUUAAUUCCAGAUAAUUAAUUUAUCUUCCUAUUUUUUAUCAGUUUUGACUUUCCUCAGAUUGGUCACUUCUAUUGAGAUUCGCAAGAAUGAGGAGUUCUACUGGCCAUUUUUGGGCGAGAUGGAGCACAAAACAAUUAUUGAUGUUCGGACUGCGACCGCAUUCUAACUAAUGCAAAUCAGCAAAAACUUUUUAGCUGUUCGAACUAUAUAUCCAACCAUUUUCUUUAACUUCUUUCUGGCAUUGUUGAUUUGCUAACAGUACUGCAAGGAGGAAGUUGUCCAGAUGGGAAAGGACGCCGAUAUUAUCCAUGCCACCGCUCUCGCGAAUGCGUUCGGCGUUCCGAUACAUGUAGUGAGUCUCGAUACAUCCUUUUCGUCUGGCAAAGUAGGACCGGAUUACGUUCUCUCUCCAAGAAAUGGGACCAAAGAUGUUAGUAAUGUUCCGGCUCCUGGAAGUGGUCCUACCAAGGAUGGAUCAAGCGCAAGCGAAAGCUCUUCUCCAAUGGGUCGACGCCAAGUGCUCACUGUGACCCUACUUUACAGGCCCGGUCAGUAUGACAUUAUCUAUCCUAGGGAGAAGACUUCAUGAGAUAUUUCCAAUACAUGUUUGCUAGUAAAUUUUGAAUAGUAGAUCGAAUGACGGUUGGUAUUCAAUUGAUUGUUGGAUUCUUUUGUCGAAUGUAAAUUCUUCUCCACUUUUCAACAAAAUUGUAAAUAUGAACUCUUCUUACUAAGAAAGAUUUCAAGGAUGCAGAGAUUUUAUGCGCAUUUAGAAGCUAGUACUAGAUUGUGAAUUCGAUUUGGAGCUUUCUCUAAGCAGUUGCCUUGUUCAUAAAUAUGAAUGGUUGUCGACUAAACAGAUGUAGAUAGUAGUGUUGUAUCUUUUAGUUAAUGGUAAAGAUAUAUUCACAGUUGAUAAUUGUGAUCUGAGAUUCUAUAUUUUCUGCUGGAUAUAUAAACAGUAAACUUCGUCACUGAGUUUUUCGGUAAGCCUUUGCCUCCGUAUCAAUUAGAUAAAAAUUGUAUCAAUUUUUCAUUUUGCACUUUAUCGUUUUUGGAAUUCUUGUCAAGUUUAGCUGAAAAACUUUCUGAAAGUAAGUUUGUAGAUGAAUUUCGUUAUAUUUAAUGUACUUGAAUCAUAUAAACAGAAUAAAAUUGUUCAACAAACUAUCAACUUUGAUAGUAUUAGUAGAGGUUACACUAGAUCAUCUAUCUCAAAUUUUAUAUCUAUUUUCUAAAUUGUAAAUUAGAUAUACGCCGCGAUGCAAAAUAAUAUGACAUGCCAUCUCAUAAUAGGUGAUGUUUUGCAAUUGAAUUCAACCUAUUAUUCCCAAAUAUUGGGUCUAUUUGAGACAAUGGUAAACUAUGUUGACAUAAUUUUUAAUGUAGGAGAGUAUGGGAGUCAAUGCGUAAAAUGCUGGGUUGUUUCGUUUUCUAGUUCAAUGCUAACAUCAUGUGAAUAUAUUAUUAUUUGAUAACUCAAAAUAUUUUAUUAUUACUAAAAACUCAAAAAAGACAGGAUAAAUUUUAAGGCCGUUGCGUAGAAUUAUAACCUCUCUUUUUCUUGUCAGAAUUACCAUUUCUUUUCAUGUUAAAGAUUAGAAAUUAUAUAUACACUACAAUCGAAAUGUAUAUUUUACAUUCCACCCAUCUAAUGGAUAUGUAUACUAUUUAUAUACUCUUUUUGGGGUGUAUGUCUUACACUCCGCCCAUCUAAUAGAUGGGUGAUUCAGCCGGUCAUAUCGAGAUGACUGCUGGAGUAACCCCACCUAAUAAAAUAAAUGGGGUGUAAGAUUUACACCCACUUUUUGAGUGUGCAGAGAGCAUUAAUUAAAGUAUAAUUGUAAAUAUAUCAUAUAUGUAUCCUUCUAAAAUAUCAUGUAUAUCUCUAAACUUGACCGCUUAUAAAUGGUUCAAUCGUGGUGAUCGAAUUGAGCUUCAUCUAUUUUCGUCGUCUUAUCUAGAUUGCCUAAUGUUGUUCCGAUUUUUCUUACUAAAUUUAGUUCACUAAUUUAAUAAGAGUAAUGAAAGGUAUAUAUACCAAGAAGAGUCUUUUUAAGUCAAUAUAUGUUGGCAUUUGGUUAGUCAAGGAGCUAUUUACAAGUUUACAAUAUUAGUUUUUAUACUUAUUUAGAUUAAAAAAUUUAUGAAAUUUAAUGAUUCUAUCAAUUUUAACAGUUCAUUGGUCCAAUUUUAUUUGCUAAGAAAUAAUUAAAAUUAUUAACUUUCUUACAAUUAUUCAUGAAUUUAAUAAAAUCUCUCUCUCUCUCUCUCUACUAAAAUCAUUUUAAAUCUAAAAACUAGUAAUUAAAGAGGUCGUAAUAAAAAAAAUAUUGAAGUUGAGGACCUCAUUUCAAAUAUGCAUAGAGUUGAGGGGGUCUUCAUAUAUUUUUACUUGCACUCUUCCCAUGCAUCUUAGGUGGAAUUUUUUUCAAAAAUUACGCUAAGGCGCAAUAUUAGCAUCGAAACAGUAACUUUUGUUAAUUAUAAUGAUAAUGUAGAUGGCCGAAAUCAGUAUUAAAAAAAUUUUGUAAAAAUUACAAAUUUAAUUAAUAAAAAAUUAGAGGCCUAAUUAAAAAUUAGAAAAAUAGAGAAAUGCUAAGUCUACCAUAUAAAAUGGUUGGAAAUAAUACAUUCCUCUUCUCCCACCUAAGGUUGCUUUUAGAUUUUAGUAUUAUAAAAAUAAAAAAAUAAAAAAAUGAAAAGUACUAGUUUGUAAAAUUUGGCCUCUGGAUGGUCAUGCUGAAAGAUUGCAAUUCAAAGAGUAGGUUAUAAUAAGGAAAAGUCUACCUGGACACCCUCUUGUUGGUGUAUAUCCUACAACCUGAAGAUCCAAUGGGUGAGAUUAAGUAUUGACUAAAAGAGGGUAUAAGCUCACCCUUUUUUUCCAAAUCGAAGCCCUACUACUCUCUCUUUCUAUGUUUCUCGCACCGAAGUAUCGCUCUCGCUCUCUUUCUCUGUCUCUCGCAUCGAAAUAUCGCUCUCACUCUCUCUCGCGCCCUCGCCUCUCUCUCGCUCUCGCGCUCUCCUCUCUCUCUCUUGCUCACAAGUCCCUCUAUAGGGCAGAAGGUCAGCAGGGAGGGCCCUCGUUCCAUACAUUGUCGCGCUCGGUAGAACUACUACUCUCUCUUUUUCUGUCUCUCGCACCGAAGUAUCGCUCUCGCUCUCUUUCUCUCUCUCGCACCGAAAUAUCGCUCUCACUCUCUCUCGCACUCUCGCAUCUCUCUCGCUCUUGCGCUCUCCUCUCUCUCUUGCUCACAGGUCCCUCCAUCGGGCAGAAGGUCAGCAGGGAGGGCUCUCGUUCCAUACAUUGUCGCGCUCGGUAGCACUACUACUCUCUCUUUCUCUGUCUCUCGCACCGAAGUAUCACUCUCGCUCUCUUUCUCUGUCUCUCGCACCGAAAUAUCGCUCUCACUCUCUCUCGCGCCCUCGCUUCUCUCUCGCUCUCGCGCUCUCCUUUCUCUCUUGGUCACAGGUCCCUCCAUCGGGCAUAAGGUCAGCAGGGAGGGCCCUCGUUCCAUACAUUGUCGCGCUCGGUAGAAGCUCCUGUUCCAAGCCGUCUCGGAGCUGUCUCUCGCCCUUGCCUCUCUCUAUUAGUAGGAGGUCACCUCUCAAUCGCUUGUACGACGGUCCACACCGCUCUCCUGUCUAUCCCAGUACCUGUCACUCAUUCAUUCGCUCGUGGGCGUCCGAAAUUGGAAACGAUUUCGGAGCUAUUGGCUACAACCUAAAUAGAGGACUCAACUCAAACAGAGGAUUAUUUUAAUUCUUAUAAUCUUUUAUUCUCAAUUUUUUAUUUAAUAUAAAAUUUAUAUUUUGAGGGUUUAGAGUUCCAGCUUCGAUUUGUCUUUACGUGCUGCGGACUUCGUCACCGACUAGCUGAUUCAUUAUAUUUUAGAACACUGCUGGUAUAUUUUAUUUUUGGUUGCAUUUAUAAAAAUAAAGGGUUUACGGUUAGAAUUAGGGUUUAGGGUUUAAAAGUUGCUUUCACAGUCACACACCUAUACUCCAUGCAUUUCAUAAAAUUUUGUUUGGUUUAGGAUAGAAAACUGUAUUCAUUACAAAUAUACAAAUUACGCAUAUGAUUAAGUUUGAUUUCGUUUGAAUAGCAAAAAUGUAUAGAAAAUAUGUAUUAAUUACUAGUAUAUUCUCUUAUGGCUUGAUAGAACGGUGCUAUGUGGUUUUAAGAGUUAGUUUGCUACACUUUCUAUCACUGUAAUAGAGAGACUUGAAUACGAAAUUAUGGAGAAAAAAUGCUACAGCUGAAACAAAAUUAAACUUAACCAAAUUCAGAAAAAUAGUAAUUAAUGACCUAUACAUCUAUCUACUCAAGCAAAAAAAAUCCUAUUAAUACAAAAUAUUAUUAAGUAUAGAAAAUUUUCAAUAAAACACAAUUAUAAUAAAAAUACAUCAUCUGUUAACUAGUAAAUCAUAGUCCAAAUCAGUGAAAAAAUAGUGAAAGAAUUCACCAUAAUUAAAAAUUAAUAAUUUACUCAAAAAUAUUACAAAAUAUUGAAAAAUUAAGUGAAUCAAUGAGUUUAAAUGAAGCAAUGAAUUUUUUAAUUAGUUCAAAUGAAAAAAAUGCGUUCAAAUUAAAGGAAAAAAUUACAAGUUACUCACUGCUGCAUUCGUGUGGGGCGUACGUCCGGAUAGGGCUAAGAAUCGCAGCUCUACAACUCCAGCUGAAAAUAGAGAAAGAGACUGUGAGGAUGACCAUACUACAUGAGUUCGCCGAAAAAUGGGCUAAGGAUGAAGAAAACGAGAGAGAGGAUGUAGAGAUGGAGAAAAGAGGAGGGAGCGGGCAGAGGAUGUCCGGGAGGAAAAGAGGGAAAGAGGAAAAGUGUAGGAAAAAGAAAGGGCAGAAUGAAAUAUCAAAUUUUUUUUAAAAAAAUUAUAUUAAUCUCAGCCCUUGGAUCUUCAGGUUGUAGGAUGUGCACCUCUUAUAGGGUUGUUCCGGUAACACAACUCUUGUAAUAAUCCUAACAUUGCUUAUGGUGUAAAUAACCUUUUUUUUAUUUUUUUUCUUUUUCUUUUACUACUGUACAAUCUUAGCAUUUUUGUUCACACUAUUGGACCAUUCCCGUUCUUGUAAUUAUUAUAACUGUAAGGAUAAAAGUGCAAAAUUCCCCAAUUAAGAUAUGUUCCCUUUUAUUCUCUUCCCCUGUGCGUGUUUCUCGGGAAGGUGCGGUGCGGAGUGCGAGAUCGAAGUGCCCCCGAUCUCGUCGACAUUUCUCCGCGCUUUGAUCUCUAGGGCUCUUCUCCUAAUCCGAUUUCGAAUCAGGUAUGAUCUUUGUGCGAAUUUAGUCUGAUUAUGGGGAAAAUUAUUGUUUAAUUUCGCGAUCGUUGGUAUGUUUUCUUUCGCAAUUUGAGUUGAUUAUGGAGAAGAUCAUAGCGAUCAUAGGUUUGAUUUUAUUUUCUUAGCGAUUUGAGUUGCUUAUGGAGAAAUUUUGGGUUUAGUUUAGUGGCCGUAGCAUGAUCUUUUGAGCAAUUCGAGCAGGUUAUGGAGAAAAUUAGGGUUUGAUUUCGUGAUCAUAGGUAUGAUUUCUUAUGCAAUUUAACUUGGGUAUGGAGAAAAUUAAGGUUUAAUUUUGCGAUCAUGUAGUUGAUUUAGCGUUGCCUUUUAGGUUUAUCAUUUUGAUUUCAUAGAUUUUCAUAAGCUUAGUUGAAUUAUGAUGGAUUUUUGGGGACUUAUUUGGCGUGUUAGGGUCUUCCUUUUUUUAAUGUGUUAUCUUUUCGAUUUUUUUGUUGGAAACGAGAUUAUUUAUUGCCUUUGGUUAAUUGGAUAUUAAAAAUAGGCGCUUUUUGUUAUUUGCUUUGAAUUUUCCAUUUUUAAUGUGAAAUAGAGCUCUUAUGUGAUAUCUUAGAUCUGCUUCUUAAUUUGUUUGAGGAAUUAUGACAUCUGUGUGUGGUUUAUGACACUAAUGCUUAUCUUUUAGCUCAAUACCCUGUCAUUAUGGUGAUGUUGGUUGGUGUAGAAAGAGUUUUACUGUUUGUGAAAAAUGUAACUUUUGCGCGAUCUAAAUUUAAGUCAUUGUCUUUAAUCUAAAUGAUUUGAUUUGCCACUAUAAUUAGGUGAUCUAUUUGUUUGCUAGCUUAUUUAUUAUCAGUUGGCUAGUUGUUCGCUUAUGUUUCUAUAGGUGAAGUAUUUACUUUUGUGCGCUUCUGUUUCUAUAGAUCUCGAGGAUAGAUUGCUUGUCAUUGCCUUCGGUACUACGUUUUAUAGGUUUAAUCUUUUGUUUUUUUCCUAAUUUAUUUGUUGAUCUGAUCAGAUUUAUAUAGAGUUCUGAUACUUGGGUUCUCCUUAUUUCUGUGAUUGUGUUUCUCUUGGGAUCGAUUGAGAAGCCAGGUAGGGAAUGGAAUGAUGGUUCUUGUUAAGAAUUGCAGCUAAUAGUUUGGAAAGAGGACAUUUACAUUAUUGCUGAAGGGAUGAGGAAUAAUUUAGUUCUAGCUUAUAUUUUUGGAAUCCCGCCAUAAAUAAGAACUAAUAAAAGUAUUAUUAAAAAUAAGCUUAGCAUUUUUUCCUCAAAAAAAAAAAAAAAAGCUAAGCAUUUAGAAUGUGGCAGAUUUGAACUAAUGGCCACUAAAAUAAAUCUACGGAAACAUAAUCAAUGUUCAAGAUCCUAUAUAGGAAAAUGAAGAAGGUUGUAUAGCUACUGUCUAAGAAUUUAUGAUCCAAAUUCAAUUAGCGGUGAUAUGUUCAUUUGGGGAAGAAAUGGGAACAGCUAGUAAGUAGCAACUUUUGCAAAGCAAUAAUCCAAGUUCCUUAUACAAUUGUUUAAGAAAACUUAUGCUUCACCGAUAAUUAGUGUUUUAGUCAUGUGAAUUAUAGUGGAAACUUUGUAGCAUUCUUGUUCGUUUAUUACCUUUUCGUCUUUUUGUUUUUAGACUUUUUUAUAUUGGUAUAUUCUCCAGUUCGUCAGGUCUAAUAUCUCGGAUCUAGUGUUGCUGUUAUCAUAGCCAUACAAAGUUAUUUAAUUGUUAAACUACAAAACUAAUUGUUCAUUUGUGUUUCGGAUCCUUACCAACACGGUGACAAAAUUCUCCUGUAUUAUCGGGAAAAAAAAAAAAGAAAAUCUCAUGGAGUGCGAACUUUUACCAGAUGAAUAUUUUUUUUUUUUCUGAAUUCUUCAUCUGUUGAUGGAUGAUGAGAAGAAUCACAAGAACUAUGAACAAUCUAGAGAUUAUUGAAAUCAUCCUAGGAAAUUUUGAUUAUAUGGCGAAAUUAGGUUAUUCUUUAACUAUUUUUAUGCUGAAAAUGAAACAUGAUAAAAUGAUUUGCAUAGAAAAUUCAUUAUUAUAUAAUUUAUUGCCAUAUAUCUGCACUUCAUUCAUUGAAUUACUCUAUAAUUUAUUGCCAUAUAUCUGCACUUCAUUCAUUGAAUUACUCUCCCUCAUAUAUUUUCUUUUCCCUUUCAAACCCAUCGAACUACCAAAAUUUUUUCCGAAUGCUGAACUCGGGAUGUUGAUUACUGAUGUUUGUGAUUUCAUAGAGAAGUAAUAUUACUUUGAUAAUGUUACUGUGCUUUUUCUGCAGCCAUGUCACCUCCAGAUUCAUGGAUCAGAGAGUUCAAUGAGGCUUCAAGGCUUGCUGAUGACAUCAGCGCUAUGAUUGCUGAAAGGGGCUCUUUGCCGCCAUCAGGCCCAGAUACACAACGCCAUAAUUCUGCGAUUAGAAGGAAGAUCACAAUUCUCGGAACUAGACUAGAUAGCUUGGAGUCCCUAUUGUCCAAGCUUCCCACAAAGCAGCCAAUGUAUGUUUUCCUAUCUCACGAUAUUUUUUUUCUCUUCUAAUUACUUGUGCUCCAACUGAUGUCAAGAUGUUGGGAAAGGGCUUGAGAAACAUAUCUACAUUUAGCGCCAUCCUCUUAGUAGAGUUCUAUUCAGCAUCAAACGCUUUCAAUAUUACAGUUGAUGUCCUAUGCUAUGAGAGAGUUUUACAUAUUUGGUCCUUUCCUAAAAUCUUAUAUUGAAAUAGACAUCUAAGCACCAUCAUACAUGUUUAGUGGGCUAAAAGAAAUAGAAGUUAACAGCCUUGCUGUUUGAGUAGGCUUCACAGCCAGUUAUUUUCGCUGGAGUGGAAUAAAGAUAAAUAUCAUGGUUGGGAAUUGUAGCACUUAUGCAGAAGGAUGGGUCUUGUGACACUUUGAAGAGAUUAGGGAUCCGAUGUGACAAUUGGAAGGUUGAGUAACAGUUGAAAUUAGAAUAAAAGGUUGAGGGCCUUGGGGCACACUGGAGCAUUGGCCUUCUUCAUAGUAUUAAUAUUUACUUAUUUCAAUGAGAGAGAUUUGACUGUUAGCUUUCAUAAUAGCAGCUCUAUCUCUUCUAAUAAAAGGAACUAUUAAUUCAACAUUAAUCAUUGUAGUAUCAGGUAAAUGUUCUUUUCCAUAUUUCCCUGUUUCUACCAAAUGCAAAUGAGACUGGGUGGUUAAAACCUACUCGCCGAUAUGGGACUUUCAUCCUCAUUUUUUUUUUUUUUUGGGGUUCUAGCAGCUUCGCUAAGAAAUAACUUAAAAAGGUCUUUCUUCAUUUUUGCAAUUACGUGGCAGAUAUUCUGUGGUCUACUUUCCUAAAUGUCAAAACAUCUGUACAUAUUUAUUUUGACAUGCUAUUAACCUGCAAUUUAUGCAGAAGUGACAAGGAGCUGCAUAAGCGCCAGGAUAUGCUUUCAACUUUGAGAUCUAAAGCAAAACAGAUGGCCUCGACAUUAAACAUGUCAAACUUUGCUAACAGGUGAGGUCAAAACUUCAGAAUAUAUUUUGCAUCAAUCAUCUGUAAUAGUAAUUUUCUGAUAGGGUGUUUCUUUUCCUGUACUCUGCUCAAUAUGUUUUUGGUCUUUUAUUUGUGCUUUAAAUAACUUAGUUGUUUAGUUGUUUAGUAUUAACUAUACUUGGUGAGCAUCUAUAAUUUAAUGCAUUUUAUUAAAACGAAUACCCUUUACAUAUAUACUUUCAAACUCAUCUAUUAACUUGUAUACCCCUGUAAAAUCUGAACUUGCAAUACCCUCAAUGAUAGUGCAAUUCUUGCAAAAUUUAUCUUUAGCUUGGACGACAUCCACUUCAUAGGGCAUGCAUAGUAUGUUCUGCAUUAAGAUUUUUUAAGAUAGGAAAAUUUUUUUUAGUACAAGGUAUAUCGGUAAGAAAUUCAAAUUUUGAAGGGUAUAUGCAAAAAAUGUUAAUAUAUGUGUAUCUAAAUUGAUAACCUUGCAAGAAUUGCUAUAUAUAUAUAUAUAUAUAUAUAUAUAUAUAUAUAUAUAUAUAUAUAUAUAUAUAUAUAUAAUUACCACUAAACAAAAUUUCUGCUGAGUAACCGGAAGGUACCUUUUUCCUUGAAUCUAGGGAUGAUCUCUUUGGGCCGAGUAAAAAAGCAGCUGACGAAAUAAGCAGGGUGCAAGGGUUGGACAAUCGUGGUAUUGUUGGUCUACAGAGGCAGAUAAUGAAAGGUAAUCUAAGUUCCUGCUAGUCCUACUAAAUUUAAGCCUUUUUUCUUCUUUUUUUAAUACUUAAAAAGCUUUUUUUUUCUGACACAGAGCAAGACGAGGGCCUUGAAAAGUUGGAGCAAACUGUAAUUAGCACAAAACAUAUUGCUCUAGCAGUUAAUGAAGAAUUGGACCUUCAUACGAGAUUGAUUGUCAGUAUCACACCAGUCGGCUUGAUCUCGUGAAUCUUAAGUUGCAUUUUGUCUUAACUGCUCUCAUUCUUCUCUUGAUGCAGGAUGACUUGGACCAACAAGUUGAUGUAACAGAUUCACGACUUCAGGUGUUCAAUCUACCUUGUUAUCUAUUGUAUUAUCUAGAUGCAUCUAUUUUAUUGUUAUAAUAGCUGGUGAUCUGGUUUCUGUCGUGGUUCUCUUUGAUGUUUUGUUUUCUUCUUCUUCUUCUUCUUUUCCUUUUGUUUUGCUUUAUUUAUUUCGGAUUCACUUCCUUUCAAAAUCGAUACCAAUGAGGUGUUCAUUAUAAUAAGCAUAUGAAACCAACAUUAUUUUCAAUGACCCUAACACAAACACACACAACAACAACGACAAUUACAACAAUAAUAUUUCGAAGAUCCAUGCGAUCGGUUGCAAUCUAGGUUAUUUAUAACCGCUACAAAUUAAAAAUCAUCCAUUUUGCAUCCACAUGAUGAUGUUUUCUGAUAGUAUUCUAUCAUAUUAGGGUAUGGACAGAAUAUAUAUGGAUAACAAUCCAUUGGAUAUAUUCAUAUUGCUUGAUCAUAGCAUUCCCUUGGAAAAUAAUCUGGAUAUUAUAUUGAAAUAAUCUCGAUUAAUGACUGUUCUGAAAAACCCAGCUUUUGAGUCAUUCCUGCAAUUUUUUACACUAAUAUGUUGUUAAAUGUCACAAACCUAAAACUAUUUUGAAUUGCAGAGGGUGCAAAAGAGACUGGCAGUGCUAAAUAAGCGUACAAAAGGGGGAUGUUCAUGCAUGUGCUUGCUUUUAUGCGUCGUUGCCAUAGUGAUUUUGGCUGUAAUUGCUUGGGCUCUGAUCAAGUACUUGUAACAGUAGCACAAAAAAAAGUGUCUCCGAUUGAUCGGUCUUUGCAAUUACAGUGCUGCUUUCACGUGUCCAGCAUUCCGUCGAAAGUUUUUCUUUCUUUUUUUUUUCGAUUGCCAUUUGGGAAGAAGUGGAACAUUUAUGUGAAGCUGAUUGUGUUUGUAUCAUAAUGUAUCUUGAAUGCAAAAUUACAGCUUGUGCACUGUGUGAUAUAAUGGAAGUUACUACUUGUGUUUUCCUUCUCAUCCACUAUUUGCUUCCUGUAAUAACAAUCCGGUGGUUUAUAUUCCUUGCAUGUCUAAGAUGUCCAUUCCAAUCGAGUUCAAAUUUAUAUUUUCAAAUUGCUCAAAAGGUAGUAAACUUCCCAGUGUGCUUAUGAUAGAUACAUCAUUAAUUAGUUCAAUUAUGCAGUCCUUUUUGUCUACUUGAUACUCCCUUUGGUCAAUAUGUGGUUUGCUUCAUCUUACACUCUGUUUGGCACCAAAUUCGAAAUAGAAUUUAAUGGAAUUCAGAUGAGAAAGAAUUCUCAACUUUGCUUAGAAAUGAAAUUCGUUGUUCAGAUUCGAAACCGUUUUGUAGGGAUAUAUGUACUAGUAAUUGACCCUUAAUUUUCGAAUCAUUUGAUAAAGUAUAGCUAAUAACAAUUGAUUUUUUUUACUAAAUGACUUUAUUUAAUAAGAAUUGGAUGAGAGUCAUUUGUUACUGUGAAAUAUUUUAUUAAAAUCCUCCUGAAAUCAACUGGAUAUAAAUUUAGAAAUUUGCAUGGUUGGAGCAGAGGAUACAUGGCAAUUGUUUAUUUAAAGAAUUAUCGUCUUUGGGAGACUUAAUAAUUUAUUAUCUGGAAACUGCUGGUGGUGUAUAGCAUCUAUUUUGGAGACAUGGAGAGUGGAAUGCUACCUCAAGGGAAAAUUUCCUUUUGAAUGUUUAUUCUAUCUUUAUUAAUAUUUUUAUUAUUUUGUUUCAACCAAACCCCAUAGACUAUCUCACUGGAUUGUUAAUGUGGAAAAAGUUGGGCAAAUGCCUAGAUGAUUUGCUCCACAGUUAAAAGCAUGACAUAAACUUUUUUAGAGCUCUUUUUCCGCUUGUUCGUUGUUGUGAGAAAAGAACUACUUUGAUUCUCAGCAUUUGUUAGAGCGCAGGGAGUUUGUGAUUCUGUUGUUUCCAGCGAAGUACUCAAAACUUUUGACUCGGAUUGCUCUCUGUUCUCAGUCAAGUUGCAGUUCUCUUUUUGGGUCAAAUAUUUGGCAAGUAGAACUUCUGAUUCACCAAGUCUCAGCUCAAAACAAAUAGCAAGGAUGCUUUUCUAAGUCCUAAGAAGCCAAAAUAAUGAGAUUAAUAAUAAGCUGCAAACCUGUGUUUAUGCGUCGAUUCGAAUAAACUCAACGAGAGGAGAUCGACCGAAUCAUCGUUCGGAAGUGAGGGGUAAUAUCUCACAGAAAUAAUCUACAAACUUAAAGAAAAGAUUCAGUCAAAACAUAUUGUCGGAUGAACAUACUAUAUCGCUUGAAGAUUUCAUUUGAUGAUCGCUUUGUCUACAGUUUGAGUAUGUGCGUGCCUCACCGAACUUUACAUUCAAAAGAAUAUUCGUGACCCUUACGAGAGGAGGAAAAACAAAACAAGAAAGGAAAAAACUAUUUACUGGUACUCGACGACGAUCAUCGCAGUGAGCAACGAGAAAGAAUUACUUUGGAUAGAGGAUGUCAUAAUGGCCGGGCCUGAACAGCAAGACGACAACGGGCGUACGUGGAAGUGAAGAAGAGCUACUGCUUGCGCUACCGCUUGAGCUGCUGCCAUCUAUCAAAGAGCUCAAAUCCGAGAACUUGUCUUCGUACUUGACGGGGAUGAAGUCGUGGUGAGUCAAUCCGAAUCCACCCCCGGGUCUUGUGGACGAGUCUAGAUACACCACGCGUAUGGGGAUGCAGAAUGCAUUGGAGAGCGCUACGACUUGCAUGUGAUCGGCGUACACGCCCAAGGGAAGGACUUCAUUCUCACAGAACUGCCAGCGAAACCAGGAAAAUUACAGAAUUAGCAUAUAAAUCAAAAUAUAAAAGGGAUGCACAUAAUCAAUGCCACUUUCAUCGGCUUGAUGGUUUGGCUGAAUAAAAAAGAAGGGUUAAUUCCAAAUUUUGUCUCUGAAGUUCAACAAUGAUUAUUGUUUCGUUCUCAGAGUUUGAACCCUAAAAACUCGCCCCACAAGUUGCACUCUUGGCCACAGAGUUUCAAGUGUAAGCUAAACUUUAAUUGGCAUCGUGAUCUCUUCAGAUGGUAGACUAACAGAACGUAAUUGCAAUACAAACACAAAUACGGGAUACGAAUACAACAUGAUACAGAUAUGGCGACACAACGAAUGGUGAAAAUCUUAGGAUACCAUACAUUGGGGAUGAGGUAAUAAAAAAAAUAUUUUUAAUCAUAUAUAUUAUUAUUAUAUAUGACAAUAUAUGUUAAAACAAGUGUAGAAUGUUUCAGAUGAUUAGUUAAUGUAAAGCAAUAAACUGCUAACUUGUUGAAAGAUAAAAACAGAGUCAACUUUUUCUGACUAAGAAACAAAAUUAUAGUCAGCCUUUUCUGAUCAAGAAACAAAAUAAAUCAGACAAAAAAUGAUAAUCUUUAGUUUUUAUCGACCACAAAUUUGUGGUGCAAGUAUAUCAUCCAACUGCAAAAUAGCUCUCCCCCGUAUUUCACAAGUAACCUUCGCGCAUGAUGUGCAUCCAUCAAGUAUUUGGUAUUUUUCUGAAUUUUCAAACUUAUCGGAUGCUCUUGUGAAGUAUUCGACACGUAUCGGGCAUGUACCGCACGGAGUAUCGGUAUCCGAUGUGAUACGGAAGGCUCUUGUGCAUCAUAGGAUUUAACUGUUAUGCUUCAGGUACUUAAUUACUAAAACAAUGAGGUCAGAAUAGAAAUUGGAAACAAAGUUUAACUUUCAACUCAAAAGAGACUCACAGAAAUGUUCAGCUAAAAGUUAUAAGAAGAGUGUUAUAUCCAGAAGCGGCCGUCGAUUUGAACUCAUGCUCAUGUUUACAACUAGAUAAUGAGCAUCAUCUUUUCCUUGGGCAAAACGAAGUUAAAUCGUGUAGUAGUAUUACUGACCUCCUUAAUAGAUUUCUGGUUUGUGUCAUCAACAAUAAAUGGACUGAAGUGCUCUUCUCGCAUGCGCAUAUCGACAGAAGUGACCAAUCUAAGGAAACUCAAAACUGACCAGAAAAAAAAAGGGCCCAUGCCAAAAUAAGAACUGGCAAAAAUAAUAAGCAAUGUCUUUAAAACAUUGCAGUGUGCUUCUUACCUUUGUCUGAUUUAUACUCAUCAAGAUUUUCCUGCAGUAGCUUUGUCAAGCUGCAGUAUAAGAGAUCAAAGCAUUUCCAUGACAAGGUGCAGAAAACAAAAAAGACUAUUUGAAGUUAAAAACAAAAGGGAAUAUAAUACACACCUUAGACCGGCUCGUCUCUCUUCUAAAAUAUUUAUGACUUCAUUGCGAAAGUCCUGAAAGAAAAUUUUGACAAUUAUUAGUAAAAAAAUGAAACAGAGUAGGACACCUUAAGUUGAUUUUACAGUUAAUUGAAUCUAGUGAUUCAAAAAAAAAAAUGUGGAACUUGUGCACAAUUUGUGAUAAUCGCACCACCAUCUAGUUAAGGAAACAGCUGAUAGAAUAGUUAUUCCUUAUAAUUUAAAUUCAAUCAUUGUUUUUUUUUUUUUUUGCACACAAAGAUAUUCAGGCCAAUAAUUCAGAUAGUUUUUUUUUUUCAGAAAAAGCAUUUUUAAAUCAAGACCUCUUGCAUCUUUCCAAAAAUAAAAGGAAAAAACAGAUGCGUUCUAGGCAUAUAGACAGUUAAUACUUCAUGAACACUUAUUAUGAAUUUCAAAAGUUUUUUAAAACAAUAUUCUACAGGCAAAUGGAGUUAAGCUUUUGGCAAACAAAAUUCUAGAACUUCAAAUAGAAUGAAAUGUCAAAAUGAGCUUUACAUCCAAAAUUUAUAGCUACACCCUGGUGCUUCGAUUUUCAGAUUGUCAAGGCUCCAUUGUUUUAUUCAAACAGUUCCUUUAAAUGAUUCAAAUGGUUAUAUGAUGGUAAUCUGUGACAGGACAAACCAUUAAAGUUAGCCCUCAGAUUCACUUGCUUUCGUUUGUUUCUUGGCCUCAAUAGGUGAAAUAUAGGGAAUACUGUGUCUAGAAAAAGCUGUGUCCAAUGUACUUAAAAUUUCCAUGCUGAAAAUAUCGUCAAAAUGAUCAGAACCGCGGAGUGAAAAUAAAUGGCGUAAGAUCGAGGAACUCUUCAAAGAAAAAGAUUGUGGAAAGAGACUUUGACAAUGGUAAGAAUGUAAGCGUAAGAUCAAGGAACUCUCUUCAAAAGAUUGCAGAAAAAGACUUAAACAAGGGUAGAAGUGGCUGACGGACUCAAGAGAGUGGUCCAAAAGCAAAAAGCAAACACCCAGAUAAUGCUAAUUCAAAUUACUUCAGAUUUAAGAACCUCUCAGACUUCAGAUUGAUGCUAAAUAACUCCGUAAGCAAACAUCACUCAUGCUACCAUAUUGGCAUUGAUUUAGAGCAUGAUAAAAAUGCACGCGUUUGCAGAAAUAACUUACCGAGAAACAAUCGUCAAAUCUGUCUUCAUCCUCUCCAAAGGUAAGAUAGCCCUUUUUCAAUUCUUCAAGACGCUCAAAAAUGCGAAAGACCUCACGUUCAUCUUGCGAUUCAGCAAUCUGCUCCUGUUUACAUAUCUCAAAAUCCCAUCUCUAAAUUCGGAAGCCUUCCAAAGAAAGGCUUAGAUUCUAUUGUAAAGCAGAAGCCACCGAACAGAAAAGGCAAUUCAUUCUCCUGACCAGGUAAGAAAUGAUGAAACUCCGGUAGAAACAAUUGCCAUCUCCACAUACUCGUCUGAAGGAAGAGAACGCAUGAUUGAGCAUCUGUUUUGGAUCGAUGAGUUAGUUGUCGACACAUUUUGUAGCUGAAAUCCAGUAACUAAUUAAGGAAAAACUACUUGUGAUGGGAGAGAGAUAGAGAGAAGGUCAGUCAUAACGAACCUUGAUCUUUUCCUGUAUGACUAAAUUGUCAGCUGGGAAAUCAGCAGCUAAAGCUAAUAUAGGUUCCUGCGACACGAAAAUUCUCCCACAUUCACAUAGGCAUCUAAAAUAUUGAUGGUUGCUAUUUUCUCCAUAGCCCAAUCAUGUGAUGAAUUAAGCAACAUUUAAUAAAUAAAGUUUCAUAGUUGCACAAGCAUGAAGAAUGGAGGUAAGGAUGUUGAGUUUGCAAGAAAAAUUAAUUUUUUUUUUAAAUUUUUUUUGUCUCAUUUCAUGUUUCAGAGCAUAUAUGAGCCUGUCGGAUAAAGCAUAGCUGACGAUGCAUACGAAAGCAAGGCAUAUCUAAUAAUUCGAUAUGCCUGAACCAUGAAGAAGCUUGUAAAGACUUUAUUAAGAAAGACAAUACAGUGAUGUUCCAAUAAACGAGUUUCCAAGACAAGUGCACAAAAGUUUAAAAGGUUAAGAUGCAUACAGCAUUAAUUUUUGUUUCAUUUCGUAAUUCAUAGUGUACAUGCAGCUGCAGCAUAAGUCAUAGCUGACGAUGUUUACUGCAGCAAAAUAUGUGUAAGAAAUUUUCAGAAUGCUUAAACAACGAACAUGCUUUCAAAGACUCUUAGCAUGAGAGAAAUUCUGGUCCAGCUCCGAUAAACGUUUAAUCAAAUCUAUAACUAGAAAUCAGGAAACCCGUUUUUCUUUUUUAUUUCUAUGUUUUUCAAAUCAUCUUCAGCUAUACUAAAGUGAACAGCUAAUGAUUAAUUUUCUGUUUUGAGUCACAUUCCCGGAUCAGACUCUGACUAAUGCAUACGAUGAUAAAAUACAUCAAAAUAUCAUACAAAAGGACAAACCAGAUUAUUAUUUGAAUUGAAAACAGAGCAUUGAGCUAUUUGAAUCAUAAUAAAUUGUGAAGAUUAACACUCCGUUUGGCAUCAAAUUUAAAUAGAAUUCAAUGGAACUCAGACAAGAAGAUUUCAAUUGAAUUCACUUAGAAAUGAAGUUCUUAUCUGGAUUUUUUGCUUGGUAAAAAGUGAGAAAUUGUUUCAAUAUGAUUAUGUUUUCCACUCUAUCCUCAAUCACCAGGUAAGAAGAUAUUAUGACGAAUUCGAGAAAGGGUAUUUGGGGUUAUUGGUACAAAGUCUUUAUUUGUAUUAUGAGAAAUCCCAUCAAAUCCUUCCGAACGAAUUGAAUUCCCAUUAACUUAUAGCACCAAACAACAUAUUUACAAAAACUAUAGUUCCAACAAAAUUUUAAUUUUACUAUCCAACCUUUCACUUCGUCCGAUUUGAGUCGGUUAAUGAUACUUUAACAUCAAAAUUUGAAUACAUCGUUUAUCUUUACCGAUUCGAUUAGUAUACUUUAUACAAUUCUCGCAACUAUAAAUUCAUUAAAGCAGGCAUAUAAAUUGAGAGAUUGAAUAUCAAAAUAAAAAAUUUAAUCCAUAGUUCACCGCCAACAAUUGCGACGAAAUAUAUCUCACAAUGGGAAAUUUAAACAAGAAACAAGAAGCUCCACAUCGAAGCAUCAAAAUUUUUUAGGGUUGUGAAACUCAAUCAAGAACGAUUCGAAGAAAUAGUUAAGGAUCGAGAGAGACGAAUCCGAACCUUUUCCGCAAGGAGGGACUUAUCCUCCACCUCCUCCGCCGCGAGGAGCAGCUGCUGCCUCCUCACCUCGGCGUUCCAGUCCGCCGCGGAGAGCAUCGGCAGCGGAAACCGCGGCAAGAACAGGUUCGGCGGGUACGCGAACUUGGGAGUCGGAUUCGCCAAGAGGGGGCUCGACGCCGCCUCCGCCGCAGCAUCGCCGCCCCCGCCGCCGACGACGAAGGAGGAGGGCUUCGGGGGGUAGGCGAAGUCGAGGGUCGGGACCGGCGCCGGCGCCGGCGCCGGCGCCGUUGGCGGGGCUGCGCCGGCGCGGGGGAGGCGGUGGGGGCGGAGGAAGGUGCUCGCGCCGCCCCGGAGCAGGCGCGGGGCCUCGGCGCGGAUGCGAUCGUAGUCGGCGAGGGGGAGCGGGGGCGAGCCCUCGCGGAGGACGAACGCGGGGAGGAGGCGGGGCGGAGAACUAUCAUAACGUGGGGAGGAGAGCGAGUUGUCGCGAGAGGGAGAGUCGGCGACGGGUGGGGCUUCGGCGACGACUUCUGAAACCGGCGUCUCCUCUUUUUCGUCGCCGGGUUUCCUGGUCUUGGUCUCCUCCUCGCUCGCUUCGGCGGGCGUCGGCGCCGACUUCUUCCCUACGCGGAAAGUGAUCCGCUUCUUCAAAGGCUGGACCAUCCCCCUCUCUCUCUCUCUCUCUCUCUCUCUCGCAUAAAAAAGAAAAAGGGGGAAAAUUGGGGUCGUAUUAAGUUUUCAUGAGAGGAUAUUUUUUUCAUUAUUAUUUUAUUAUUAUUAUUAUUAUUAUUAUUAUGGAAUAAUCACGAACUUUUCCAAAAAGAUUUUAAUUGGCCAAAUAAUAAUUUUUAUGAAAUGUUAUUUGGACUACCAUGUUAUUCAAAAUUGAAAAAAAAAAAUUUUUUUUAUGAAAAAUAUCUUUUUGAUUUUUUUUUUACAUUUUCUCGAGAAACUAAACAGCACCUAAGAUUUACUCUACAAAAUAAAACAAACCACUAAUCCUUGUAUAUCAUAACUAUGUGUAAAUAUUAUAUUUUUAUCAUAAAAUAACCAACUCUUCGCAUAUGUUUUAUCACUAUAUUUUUUUGAAAGAUAAUAUUUAAUAUAUCUUUCCAAACUUCAAAAAUAUCAAAUAUACUCCUGAUUGACCAAAAUAUCCUCAUCGUUUUCCAAAAACCUCUUCAAGUACCCCAAAACUCUAGGGUUUAUAAAUGAAAUUUGGGGUUUAGAAGGGUAUUUUGAUAAUAGAAGGGUAAAUUUAAAAAUUUUGAAUAAUAAUGAGAUGUUUAUAAGCAAAAAAAUCUUUUUUUUAACACUAAUAACUUAGAAGAAAUUGUUUAAAUUCUUGAAUGGAUAAAUUGUAAGAUAUACACUCAAAAUUUGGAUGUUGAAGAAGCAUAAGUAAAUAGUUAAUUUUCUUUUAGUUUGGGGUUUAGAAGGGUAUUUUGAUAAUAGAAGGGUAAAUUUAAAAAUUUUGAAUAAUAAUGAGAUGGUACUCCACAAAAAAAUCUUUUUUUUAACACUAAUAACUUAGAAGAAAUUGUUUAAAUUCUUGAAUGGAUAAAUUGUAAGAUAUACACUCAAAAUUUGGAUGUUGAAGAAGCAUAAGUAAAUAGUUAAUUUUCUUUUAGUUUUGGUUUUUUAUUUUAUUUUAUUUUUUUUUGUGGAGUACUAGUAAGGAUGAAAACGGUCAAAUAUGGUCGGAUUUUUGACAAAACUAAAUCUGCAUCAACAUUUUUUCGGAUAUGAAUUCGUAUGGCGAUAUGUGUCGAAUGCAAAAUUUUCAAUACCAUAUUAGCUAAAAAGUAUUUGGAUUCGGAAAUAGAUCGGAUUUGUAAUCCGAUAUUAUUCCGAUAAUAAUAUAUAUUAACAUGUAUAUAUUAAUAUAAACUAAAGUUAGUGCGAAUAAGACACACAAUACAACUAAAAUUGCACAUUUGUAUUAAAACUUCUUAUGCCUAUAUUUUAUGUAGUGUUUCGGAGGUUUGGAUAGAAUUGACUACAGUAUUAGUGACUGGUCGACACAUCUGGUGAGUGUCGGACUGAGUCGGAGUUGUUUCUCCACGAAAUGGAUGCAAAAAUAGACUUGGCGCACUCAAAGGAGCAAAACUGGAGUUUUACUCCUUUCGGGCUCCAAGAACAGGGUUUGGGUCGCUCAGAACUUGAGUGCUGAACUGAGCAGAAUUGGAAGCCAAUUCGGAUCCUAGUUUCGGGCGCCCAGAAGAGGGUCCGAAAGUUUACUUCGUGAAUAUCGUUUGCGCUGACACGUGGCUGGUGGUAGGUGAGGUCCACCGGAUCAGGAUAUGGGCACAGCACACCGCGGGCGGAGGAACCGAAGGGGAGCAAUUAUGUAGCCUGGAGGUUUCGAACGCCCAGAAAGGAGUUUUGGGCGCCCGAAAGUGGCCGUUUCUGUAGGAUUAUCAGGUUAGCAACUUUUGUUCCUGUGACUUAUUUGACCAUUCUAACUCCCUAUAAAUAGAUGGAACUCGACCCUGUGAGCUCUUUUCCUCCCUUGUUCACAGUGAACCCUUAUCUUGCAUUUCAAUCCCUCUAAACUUCCCAAAUUACUCCAUUUCCACAAUUUGAAGCUAAAGGACUGCAGUUUCAGCAGAAUUGCAGCAACGACCUUCGGCGUUUUGGCUCGUAUGCGACGUAGGAGGUUCCGUUUGCCACGAAAUUUGAUUUGUUGGUUAGAAUACUUCAUGAAGAUUUCGUGGAACCCUGUUUGACAGAAAUUGAUUGAGAUUUGUAUAGUCAAUUUCGUGUUUUUCUGAGCUGCUAGUGUUUUGGUCCCGAAAUUGAAUUUUCUUUAUUUGUUUAUAGGCCAAUUCUCGGAAAGAGCUGGAUUUUCGAUUAGAAGAAGUUGCUCCACUUUUCCCUACUGGUUUUAUGAAUGUUCUUCACCAGAAUUGUUGAUUUAGGGAUUGAUAGGUGAGUUUUGACAUUGUAGUUGGUGGAUUUAAGCUUAAGUGCUGAAAUUUGAGGGUUUUGAUGCAAUUUUGAUAUUUUUGUAUUUAGAUCUUUGGAGGAUGUUGAGUUUUGGACUUGAAGGUGAUACUCCAUCAUAGUUCACUGGUGUUGGGACCUUUUCUCACCUAAUUUGGAGAUCAGAAGGUGAAAUCGAUAUUGAGAUUGAUGUGAAUUUAAGCUUUAGUGCUGAAUUUUGGAUUAUUGAUGGAUUUUGUUGUUUAAAUCCUUAGAGAGGCUUGGUGCUGGUUGUGGCUUAGCUUGGCAGGGAUAUCUGCGACUCCUCGCUGCCGUGGAUUAGCGCUAGAGGUGGGAUAAUGUUAUGCUUACCGUAUAUCGUGGAAUUCCUCCUAAGUCUAGUUGUUGUCGACGUGUAUUUCUUGUUUUGAAUAACAUGUUUAGUAGCUCGAGUCAUUGAUUUGUUGCAUUCUAAAAUCUGAAUUGGAGCUUAGAAUAUUAGUUAAAUAAUACAUGUUGGAUUUGGAUUUGACUUAGGAGAAAACUGACGUUUCUACACUGUCAUAUGUUAAAACUACCAGAUUUAGCUCUAGGAGCCGUAGUUGUUUAUAUCACCGCAGUUUGUAGGCAGUGGAUACCCAGAAUAGUGUAGAGUGUUUUUACACUCGUGCUGGGAUGCCGAGCUUAUUUUUAUAGCAGUGUUUAGACUGUUCCGGACUGUCGGGUACCGUUGGGGUUGACGGUGGACCCAGAUUACUGUCUUUGCAUCAGAUUGUGCCAAGGGCACGUGAGUUUGGUUGUUAGACCAGUUAGAUCCUGUUUACUUGACUAUAGCCUGUGAGAGCCUGAUUGAGCUUGACAGAGAUACGCUUGCAUAUUCGGUUGGGUAGCGCCCACGAGUGCCACUCCGGAGUCGGACUUUGUGCGUUUGCGUUGGUGUCGUUGUGUCCUGGUUGGACUUGUUCUCCACAGACGGCUGAGCGUGGAGGCAGCUGUAUAGCUUCGACAGGCAGGACGGGUGUAUUCACAGUUUUUGGGACGGGUGUAUUCACAGUCCUUAGUGAGAUUGGGUCAGAGACUGAAUUAUUCUACAGAUAGUAGUGUUGGAUCAUGAUAGUAUAGUGGCAUGUAACUGUAGAUUAUUUUCAGUUCCUUUACUGUCAUUGAGCAUAUCAUCUGUAGACUUAAUGGGUGAGCCGUUGAGGUCGGUUGCGGUACCCACUGAGGACUACUUCUUUUUACAGUAGUUCACACGCCCAGUUGUGGAUCUUUUGUAUAGCCUUCGGUUGCGGCUGCUGCUACUGUUGAUACUGAUCAUGGAAAGGGUGUUGCGAGUUAGAGCCCUUCUUGACGAGUCACUGAGCUAGAGGAGUACCAGCUUCAGGUAGUUGUAGUUUUUGGUUCUUUACAUACUUAUAUUGUACCUUACUGGAGCGAGUAUUUGUACCCGGAUACUAUGUAUGUAUUAAACCACUGUUAUGAUAUAUGUUUUAUUUUUUUCUAGCUACUCUAUACUACUAGUUGUAGUGUUGUAUGAUUACAGAUACAGCUUCGCUUAGUAUACAGAAAAAAUUUCUUUAUAUACGGCAGAUUUGUCGGCGUGCGCGUAAAAACGAGUAAUCCGGGACGUGAUAUUUUAUUCAAUAAAAUUUAAUAUUUAAUAUACAAAAAUUCAAUUUUAACAUAUAACUCAUGAUUAAAAAAUAAAAUAAAAAAUCACUUUAUCCUGGUAUUAACACCCUCGUCUUCUAGGGCUGAAAACCCUGGAAUACAAUUGGGUUUCUUAAAAAAAUAUAUUUGCAUCAAUACUUUUUUAAAAUUAUUUUAUACAUUGAAUGCUAAAUUUUGAUCUCCAUAUUUAUAUUCUAUCGUAUAAGGUGUUGAAUUCGAUUCGAGUUUAUCCUUUCCACUUUCACUCUUAGAUAAAUUGAUCAAUGUCUUAGUGAUGCCAAACAAAUUAGAUAAAAUUUUAAAAAAUAAUUUUUUCCUAUUUAAUCAAAAUAUUUCAGAUAAUUUAAGGAGAAUCACAAUGAAGCCCGACUUUAGAGAUAAAGAAAAAAAAAUCUUAGUAUAACGAGAAAAAUAAUUUAAAAAUAAAAGGACCUAAUCCUAUUCGGGUAUUCUCUCCAUCUAGUCUUCGAACUAAAACUCAAAAAAAAUAAAUAUUAAAAAUGUUGGAUAAAAUUAAUUAAACACUCAAAAAUCAAUCGUCGCAAAAAUCACAUAGAUUUUUACAUACCUUUUUAUAGUGCGGAAUCAAUGCUGUGAUUACUAGGAUCUGAUCUCGUCUUGUUUUACGAACUCGUUGAUCCGCCAACGUCCUGUCUCAAUUUGUUGCACGUUGUUCUUACUCGUUGCAAUCCGGCUACUAGAGUCGAUCGCCGCACACCGCCCAAAUCCCUAGGGUUUAUGAUGGUGCCCUAGAGCGAACCCAAGAGAGAGAAUUUUGGUAGAGAGAUGAUUCUUAUUUUUUUUAUUAUCUUGUAUGUGGUCAAUACCUCAUGUAUUUAUAGGCCAUAAGGGAGACGUUAAUCCUAAUCAUACUCCGACUAAAUCUCACAUAGAUAAAGAUUUAAACAGAUUAGAAUUUAUCUGUUAGAUUUAUUCUUUAUCCCAAGUGGAUUAGGAAUAUAACAGAUAAUUAUAAAUAUUUAUUUUUUAUCCCAUAUGGAUUAGAAAUAUUUUAGAUAAGUUCCAAUGUGGACGAAUCCUAACAAAAAAAAAAUCCUACAAAUAUUCACUAUAACUGCUAUAUAUAUAUAUAUAUAUAUAUAUAUAGUUUCAAUAUAUUUGUGAUUUUUUAGCUGUAAGAUCGCCUCAAAAUCCAAACAGUGCUAAUGUGUGUAUAUAUUUAUACACCACUUAAAAAUAUUUAGAGUAAUUUAAUAAAAGUAGCAAUAAUAACUAUUUAUCUUAGAUUGAAGCAUGGAUCGUGAUCAUCAUGAUGAUCAGGAGCCUUCGACUUCGGCCGGCAGGACUCCCCGACGAUCGGCGGAGCGCUCUUGCUGGCUGUUACUGCACCACUGCCGACUGACAAACAAUCCGAGUGCCAACGGCAGCGGCGGCAACACUUGUUGGAGGGCGAAUAUAUAAAUAAACUACAACAAAUAUAUUUAACACUGGAAUACCAAACUUUAUUAAUAUAACUAAACUUCAGUACACUAUUACUGGAUAAUACAAUUUGAUCCACACUUCACAACUCUAAACAAACAAAUUACAUGCCCUCUAUUUAUAGAGCAUGAAAGGAUACAACUAUUCACGAAACGACUCAACUCUUCACCAAACAACACAACCUUUCACUAAAGGACAUGACCAUAAACCAAAAGACGCAACCUUUACAAAAGAACACACCCUUUCAUAAGAAACACAACUCUUCAAAUAAAAAAUAAACAAAUAAAACAAGCUUAUAAACUAACAUUCCCCCUUAAGCUUGUUUAUGCAAAACUGUCGACAUAUUUUUCGAUCGGGUCUUCAUAAUCUUGGAGCCUUUCCUGUAAGACUAUCUUGUCUGAAAUCAAACUCCUAAUUUUAGAGGCCUGCUCAUUGAUUACAUUCUCCAGGGAUUUAUUCUCCAAAUUCACUGCCAUAUUUUCUUUUUCCAAAUUUUUUGCAAGUUUCUCUAAAUACAAAUUUCUUUGAUCAAGAGAAACCAUACCUGUGGUACUCAUAAAGCAAAGUGAGCCACAUUUUGUUCCGCAUCCUUCUUUGAUCUUUUUACAUCGCCCAUAUAAGUGGAAUUUCCGAAUUCGACAAAUGAAUAAAAUUCUGGAAUGUGAAUAGGUCCUUCUUGAUAAGUGCGAUAUUGUGGCAGUAGCAUCUUCAUUUUCUGACAGUAUUCUUGAAGUAGAUUUUUGUAGGACACUCUUACUAUCACUUUAUUCUCCAUGUUUCACUUUCCUUUAAUGUUAAGUUGCUUUAAAAAAAAAAAAUCAACUAUUCAUUCACUAUUUAUAGGCAUGAAAAACUUUCAAAAAACAAAAUGACACAUCUCUUUGAAGUGUCCCAAUUCAAGAGACACAACCUUUUAAUUUGAAAUAUUCUUUUUUAAACAAAGAGACAUGUCUUUUCAAAAAAUAGUUAUGUUAACUACUUUAUGCAUUGGUCAACAAGUCCACACCAUAUUGCUUUUUAAAGUGAUUGUUGCUAGCAAUUGGCUUAGUUGCCGGCAUCGUAAUCUCCUUUGAUGGUCCUUCACUAUCGAAUGCACCUCUGUCUAUUAACUGUUUUUGGUUUUUUUUUUUGUUUUUGAUCCAUUGAAAACCGAAUCCAACAACAGCACGUCAUCUGACAUUUUCAGUAUAUUCUCUGGCCCUGUUCGAUUUGUAAUUUCAGGGUUUUCAUCACUCAAGCAUGGUUGCUGACCCUUAGGAGCACAGUUAUUUUUUUCUUCCCUAUCUGUUCUUCUUUUUUGUCUCACUAUUUUCUGGAGCUUCCUGCUUGGCUCCAACUCAACGUCUGCAUCAUUACAAGGGAUAAUAUUUUUCAGUCUUUUCCUUCCCAACGAAGUUACCACUGUUUGUAUACUUCUAACAUUUUCAGCUAAAGAUGAUUGAAUUUCCUUCUUUUCCUCCCUCACUUUGUGCAACAACUCCCUUUGCUCCUGCAGCUUUUUCCUUUGAAUAUUAAGCAAUUCAAUGGAGCUUUUGAUUUCAGAUAAUUCUCUCUCCCUCUGUUCGCGAUCAAGAGCAAUCUGCUUUCUCUCACUAGCGAGCAUCUCCAACUGCGAUGCUAUAUGUUCUAGCUGCAUUUUAAUCAUAUCCUUUUGGGAAGUUAUAUACUGAAGUUCUUUAGCUUUCUUUUGCUCAAAUUCUUCCUCUUUAUCUCUUAAAGAAGUCUCAAUUUCCGCCGCUCUUUGAUUAAUAUUUCUUUCCUUUGAAUUUCAAUAUCCCUUUUAAAUUCUUCUCUUUCUUGUUGAAUCUUAUUCAACCAAUUUGCUUGUUCAUUCUGCAAGUUAGUCAUAAAUUCUUCACCAUUUUUUGAUGUAAACAUAAUUUUUCUGUUUUCUUUAACAGGUACUUUGGAUGAAUCAUCAAACUUCACAUUGCCAUCAACAUUUUCAUCCAUUUCAACAAAUAGUUCUCUACUUCCACACAUAUGAUUUGAAGCACCAGAAUCCAGAAACCAUAUAUAUUCUGGAUCUUUAACUUCAGCUUGACAUGCAAGUAACAAUGAUGUUUCUGCAACUUCAUCUUCUAUUGUACUGUCGAUGUAGUGAUUUACUCCUUCAGUGUCCUUAUACCAGCAAUCUUUGCUGUAGUGACCAUAUUUUUUACAAUUAUAGCAUUGUAUAUUUGAUUUUGCACCACCAUAAGACCCUGGGCAAUUGUUAUUUCGUCCGCCUCUUUUUGGUCCAUAUUCAUGUGGUGAAUAGCGACCACUGUUGUUGCUAUUCUGUCGGUCAUUGUGAUAUCUCUUUUGAUUCUUAUAUCUAUUAUAAUUAUUUUCUCCAUGAUUUUUGCCUUUUCUAUUAUCAAGUUUCAAUUUUGACUUGAGAGCCUGCUCAGUCGACUCUUCUUCAGACAUCUUUUGUAGUCUUUGCUCAUGCACUUGGAGCGAUCCUGUCAAUUGGUCGAUAGAAAGAGUACUGAUAUCUUUUGACUCUUCUAUGGCGACAACAAUAUGCUCAAACUUUGAUGUGAGGGAACGAAGAACCUUUUCUACAACUCGUUCAUCAUUUAGUUCUUCUCCAUUUCGCUUCAUUUGGUUGGCAAUUACCAAAAUGCGAGAAACAUAGUCCGCGACACUUUUGGACUCCUUCAUUCGGAUUGCUUCGAAUUCCGCUCGAAGCUUUUGUAGACGAAUCCGCUUUACUUUGUCAUCUCCUGUAAAGACGGUGGCAAGAAUAUCCCAUGCUGCUUUGCUCGAAGUUGCUUCGGCAAUUUUCUCAAACGUCGACUCGUCUACUGCUUGGUAAAGAUAGAAGAGCGCCUUUUUAUCCUUCUUUCUUAAAUCCUUCAAAUCGUUUCGUCGUGCUAUAAUUAAUGCAGCUUCUUCUUGCUCUGUGUAUUCCUGGUAUCCAGUUUUAACUAAUUCCCAAAGGUCUAGAGAACCGAGAAGUGCUUUCAUUUGAAUACACCAAUUCUCAUAAUUAUUUUUUACUAAUUUUGGGAUUUGAGUUUGGAGAAGUUGUGUGGCCAUUUUUUUUUAACAGAGUUUCGUUCUGGCUCUGAUACCAAUUGUUGGAGGGCGAAUAUAUAAAAUAAACUACAACAAAUAUAUUUAACACUGGAAUACCAAACUUUAUUAAUAUAACUAAACUUCAGUACACUAUUACUGAAUAAUACAAUUUGAUCCACACUUCACAACUCUAAACAAACAAAUUACAUGCCCUCUAUUUAUAGAGCAUGAAAGGAUACAACUCUUCACGAAACGACCCAACUCUUCACCAAACAACACAACCUUUCACUAAAGGACAUGACCCUAAACCAAAAGACGCAACCCUUACAAAAGGACACACCUUUUCAUAAGAAACACAACUCUUCAAAUAAAAAAUAAACAAAUAAAACAAGCUUAUAAACUAACAGCACUGCUGCCAUCCGCUUCAACCUCAUUUUCGUCGAGAAAUGCCGUCGCCGCGGCAAUAGCAUCACGGAGUUCGCGUUCCCAGUAGAGACGAAGAGCUUCUGCCGGCAUGCCUACGAGUUCCUGAUGCCGCUGACGGCCGCCAGAGCCGUUGGGGAGAUGCUGGCGGAGGUCUGCCUCGACGACGAGUCGCGUGAGCAGUUUGGAGAAGCGAUUGUGGAGUACGUGCAGGCGGAGAAGGUGGCGGAGCAGGCGGUGGUGGUCUUGAGGGGGAGCAGCCUGGCGGUUGUCGAGGCGGCGAUGGAAGUGGUCACGAUUGUGUACGACGACGACAACGACAGCGACAGCGACAACGAUGACGACGAUUAUGAAAAAGAAAAUCAAACAGUAUCUACAAGCACGAGCGAAGAACAAAAAUAAUUGUUUGAGAUGAAGCUCCAUUAAGGGUCGGAGAACGAGCGAAUGCAUGCUCAAGAGAGGUGAGUUAGAAUACUAUCAGUAGCAUCAGAUUCUCUUGCUACAGAUUUAUGUUUAAUGAUAAAAUUUUCGAAUUAAUGAUCAGCAAUAUUAAAUAUGAUUUAGGCUAUUUAAAGUAUCUAUAUAGAAAUUAAAUUUCAAAAUUUUAACAUCUUUGACAUAAGGAUCAAAGAGUCGCAAAAUUUGUAAUUUUUAUGGUCGAUCAAUACGAGAUAUUUUCUUGCUUAAUAUUGGUGUGAAAAAAUUCAAGUCAAUUGAAUUUUUAUUAGAAACUUCUUUAUACUAUUUUUUUAAAAAAAUCUUAUCACUAUUUUUUGAAAAAUAUUUAUUUUUAGCUAUUCAUUUUGUGCCUGUUUAGUGCACAAGAGAAAAAUAUUUAAAAAAUAUAAAUUUUCAUUUCUAAAUAUUUUAAGUGGUCUAGACCAUAUUAGGUAUUGCUGAUCAUCGAUUCGGAGACUUUAUUUUUUAUUAAACUCGUUUGCUGUAAUUAUUUUGUAUAGGUUGAGAAUUUUUCUUUUUUUUUUUUAAGGUUAUUUUUUAUAUUUGUUUUUGUUUUUGAAAGGUUGGGUGUCCCGGAGGUAAGAUUCACCUUAGUAUAUAAAUAUUGGUUGGAAGUGUAAAAAUUUUUGCAUUAGUUUUUGUGCUUAAUUUGUACGUUUAUUCCACUUUCCACAGUUUGGGUUAAUAAUUAAUUUUACGUGAAAGUGGACAACAAGAGUUCAUGCAUGGAUAAGUUUUACGUAGGCCUCGUGAUCUUUUAUUAUUAUUAUUAUUAUUAUUAUUAUUAUUAUUUUUUUUUUGAGGGUACGUAAACUUCCAAUAGUGGAAGUUUCAUGUGCUGUGAUGUGUUGUUUCCACUUUCUUUGCUUCAUGUUUUAAUUUCCAACUGAGAGCAAGAAAUUUGUGAGUUUCGCGAACUUGUCUUCAUUGCCAAAUUUUAUCGAAGUCGAAAGACUGAUUUUUAUGAAAGUCUAUGACUUUCUCCGAGUCACGAAUUCAACCUUUGAAAUCCACAAAAACAAACAGAUCAAGUGCCUUGCAAUUGCUGUGCAGGUAUGAUAUUGGUUUUGGAUAAAAUUUAUGAUUGUGGGUAUAAUUUUGAUCUAAACUCGAACUUAUUCCAUUAAUGGUUGGUUUUAAUUUUAUUCACUUUUCUUGCUGAGUUUAGAUUAAAAUUCAAUAUAAACACAGUCCAACUUAUUGGCGAGCAUCAAAAACUUGCACUAAAUCAAAGUUCUAAGAAAGAAAGAUCCAUACAGAAUCAGAAUAAUAACCAUCAAGUGAUAUGCACAAAAUCAAGGAAAAAGAAAAUAUAGUAUAUUGUUAGAAUUUUGAUUUCGAGUUUUAAAAUACGUAGAUCUUACACGCCCCGUGUCAAAAGAUUUGCAUAUCCUUUUGGAUUUUUAAUAUUAAAAGUAAAAUAAAAACAGUUGACAAGAUAAGUAUGCAAUCUUAGCCCUUCAAAAAAGAUAUGAAAGAUUUACGCACCUUUAUAAUGUACAUAUAGUAUUGCUCUUGUUUAAAACAAGAAAGAUAAACUUCAAAAAAAUUAUGGCCCAGUGAUUUUAGUGUAUUUUCACUUUGCCACUUAUUAGUUUCGAAAGUUGUACUAAACUAUGCUAUAUGAUUUAGCACAUUUUUCACUUUGUUAUCCUAUGAUUAAAACAAAUACACUUUACUAUCCUGUGAUUUUUAUUUUUUUAAUUUCCUGUAAGAACUUUUUGUUAAACAAGAUACCUCCCUAUAGUUUUCAAAAAAUUUUACUAUAAUUACUACCCUACCUAUAUAAUGGAAAGUUAUUUCAGUAAAAUAAAAUAAAAACGCAGGAUAUAAUAUUUUAAACCAUAAGAUGAUAAAAUAAAAAUGCGAUAAACCACGUGGGGGAAGAUGAUAAAAUGAAAAUGCGAUAAACCAAACAGGGGAUAGACUGAAGUUUACCCUGAAAACAUAAGGUCUCACACCAAUCAUUUAGAUCAAUUAGGCAUGCUGCAACUUUCGAUAGAACACCAAGGGGGCGUUUGGUUUGGUGUAAAUUGAAUUGAAAAAUUAUUUUCAGUAUGAAAAGUACUUUUUCGCUUGUUUGGUUCGACCUUAAAAACAUUUUCCCAUAAAAAUAAUUUUAUGGAUUUGACAAAAAAAAAAAAAAUUAAAGUUUUCAUUUUGAACUGGUUUUCAGCAGAAACAAAACUCAAGCUAAGUAAAAUUUUUUUCAUUCUUUUUUUUCCACCGUACCAAACAAAUGUUGAUGAAGAGCUACUUUUUCCUUUUUAAACAAACCAAGCACUAUAAAAUAUAAAAUUUUUUAAUGUUUUUUCAUGGAAAAUUAUUUUUUACGGUUUUACGGUGAACCAAACAGACCCUAAAAAGUUGCAGUCACCUAGAAGCCAUGUGCAAAAGUUGUCAUCACACAAGCUACAUAAUCUACUGGUACUAUAGGACGCAUACAUAACUAUUUUCCUCUUCAGAAACUACUUAGAUUGAAAAGAAAAUCGCCAUACACAAAAAUCCUACAGAGAUUGAAAAAAAAGAAAAUGAAAGUUACACAUACAAAAGGAAUCUAACAUUUCCAGUAUUUUUUUUCUUUUUUUUUUUUUUACCGCGGCAUUGACCAAGUCCUUCCACUGAAUCCUAUACAUUAUUAGGUUACUGAAACCCUCAGUUUGAGCACACCCUUAAAAACAUAUCUCGCGAGCAUUAAAGUGACAGAGUGAUGAAAAUAGGAAAUUGUUUCUAAGCUAAUUAUUUUACUUGUAGAGUUUCGUGAUCUGUUCGCGAUAUCUUUCAGCUACUUUGUCACGCCGUACUUUCAUAGUUGGCGUCAUUAAGCCGUUCUCAAUCUGUUGUGGGGAAGAUAGAGAAGUUAAGCGUAUUUUUCCAGAAAAGGUUAACAGGUCUACAAGUAAGAGAGGAGGAAUUUGGUGAAAUUUACCGUAAAUGGUUCGUCCAGUAUCAGUAUAGGUCCGAUUUGGAAAGUGCAACCAGAAGUCCUGUAGUUAGAUAAAUAGAAGUUACUUGUUUUAUAAUUAAAUUUUGUAAAACAUUUACUAAUGAUUUAAAACCCAGAACCAUUUACGAUCUGGAAAUAUUAUAGUAUCAUGGGUCACUAGUUCAACCAAUGAUUCAACCACUGGGUUGAAUGACGUCAGUGGUUAACUACUGGUUUAAUUAUUUUGCAUUUUUUGAAAACCCUAAAGUUGAAAUAAGCCCAUACUACAAAAAAAGAGGGAAAAAGGGAAAGGCAAAAGAAGAAUUAGAGUGAGGCUUACCAAGUUCUGAUUUCAUCAUAUAGUAAGUUCAUCAUUUUAUCUUUGCUGAGGUCCGUCGCAUCAUCAUCGAUGGCCCUCAUUCUUGCUGCUGCUGAUACUUCAUCUUUGUUUGGAACAACAAGAGCACCUAAGCGUCGUUGGUCCUAACAUAAAACAAUUGACCAACUUAAGGCAACCGAUAUACUUGGUAAAUUAAAAUCAUCAUGAGUAGAAAGGGAAAUAUACAAAUAUAGGAUAAGAAAUGUGUUAAGUCAAAGAAGAUGCUUAUAUAGGAAUAUACAAAUACUGGAUAAGAAAUGGGCAAGUCAAAGAAGAUGCUUAUAAAGGAAUAUACAAAUGGAGGAUAAGAAAUGGGCAAGUCAAAGAAGAUGCUUAUAAAGGUUAAAAGGGUUUAAAGUUUUAAAUCCUUUCACCUGACCAAUAACCACAAUCUGCUGAAUUAAACUACUUCUCAGGGCAGCUUCCUCAAGCUCUGCAGGUUCAACAUUUUCACCUACAAGUUUUCCAGAUUAGAGCCAGUUUAAUAUUGACACAACUGAAACAAGACACUACAGCUAUUUGUGUGAUAUUUGCUUCUCAGUUUCCAAUGGGUAAUUCCCGACUAUAACCUCUGUACUUAAAAGAAGAUUACACCAGUCACAUUGAGCUGUGCAAUGACUAUAAAAGCACAAGCCCCCUGUGAUAUAGCACAUUUGCACUUUACAACCUGUGUGAAGCAUACCACUCAUCACAAUGGUGAACCAACGGUGCAAUCAUCACACCGGCCCUAAAUUAUUGUCUUCGAACCUUAAACCUUUUCCUCAAGUUAAAUUUAUGCUAUAAACGAGAAGAAUUCAAAAAUAUUGUUGCUCAAUAACCUGUGCUAAGAACAAUAGUAUCCUUCACACGUCCUUCGAGAACAAGCAUUCCCCCACAGUUACGGCUACGCCCUCUAGCAUGACUUGGGACAAGCCAACCUAUAUCACCAGUGUUGAACCAGCCAUCUUCAUCCAAAGCUGCAUUUGUAGCAGAUGGAUUCUGUUGAAAGUGAAAUACAUAAGAGAAGGCAACAAAAGGGCUUAAGAUAAGAGUAUGAUGAUUUUGUAGAGUCUGACAAUUUUGUAACAACAAAAUCUAUCUCCCAUCCUCCCUCCCUCCCUCCCUCCAAGGCAUAAAGAAGGCGCUUAAGAUAGAUUUUGAUAAUUUUGUAGAGUUUGAUGAUUUUGCAAUAACAAAAUCUCUCUCCCUCGAAGGGCACUUCCAAGGUAGAUUUGGUGAUUUUACAAUAACAUUCUCUCUCUCUCUCUCUCUCUCUCUCUCUCUUCAAUAACUCAUAGAGAAAAUUAAUUGGUGACGUAAUAAGUUCAUAAUCAUAAUUCCAUCAGUAUAAACACCAAUUUAGUUCGUUUGUAUUUACAUACAACAGAUUCCUCAAGAAACACAAGUUAGAUAUUAAAUUACAUAUCAGGACAAUCAUAAGCAUCUUCUAUGGGUCGUUCCUUGCUGAACACCACUUCUGUAGACCUUAAACUUUCAUAGAUACUUCUUUUCUGAAGGCAACUUUACACUAUUGACAUUGACUUCUAUUGAAGUGAAGAAGUCAAAAAAUAAGAUUCACUACAUAGAUUAUUAAGAUGAUCUUAAGCUCACCAACUGCGGAUGAGACAAAACCAGAUAACUAGGAUAUGUAGUACUGGAAGCAAAUAUGAUUAAAGAUUGACUAAAAUGAUGUUAAUGAAUAAGGGUAAUAAUCAUUCAAAAAUAUUCAGCUUCAGGGAAUUACUUUAAAUUGGCAUCAGCCGAGAUGAAUACCUUAUAGUAACCUUUCAUCACCUGCGGCCCUUUAGCUUUGACUGUCCCUUUUGAACCAUUUGGGAGCACUUUACCUGAUUCUAUGUCCACGAUCUUGAUUUCUGUGUACUUCAGAGGGUGCCCAACUGUGCCAAGAACCUUCACCAGUCAUAAUAUUUGCACAUUAUUUUUCAUAGAUACCAUACUUAGUUUCUUAGUAAAAUCAGGUUUUGCUUAAUUUACAUUGAGUGCUGGAUGGCGGACAGCUAGCACUGGAGAAGUCUCUGUUAGGCCAUAACCGUUUUGCACCUUCACACCAAUUGCCUGAAAGAGCCAAACAUAUACAAACCCAACAAGCUAUUCAGAAAGGUUCCCUACAAAAUUAUCAAUUUACACAUAAAUUUAUAUCCUAGAUAUAUCAGGGGCUUCACUUUUCACAUUUGCCCUUAAAACCUAAUUUCUUACAUUUAUGACCAUGUACUUUACAAAAUACCCCUCCCUAGAAUGUUGUCUUCAGUACCAAACCAAUUCCUCCACAUGAAUGAGAUGAUUUACAAAUUUAAGAAGAAAAAAAGGUAGUUAAAAACUGCACUUUUAAGAGACAUGCAUAAAAACUCAGAUUUCACAGGGUUUAUAUGUUAAUAGAUGGUCUUGUAGGUAAUAUAUGCAAAUGCCCCAAAACCAUAGAUAGAAUGACAUGCAGUCAUCUAAAAUUCUAACCUCAAAAAAUCUGUCAAUGUACAUCGCAAGACUUCCACCACCACUCAAACCAGCCUGCAAUUAUUCAAACAAAGCUCUACAAUUUAUACAGAUACUGGCAAUAUAUAAAAUAAACAUUUCUAUUGCAGAAAAAGAUGAUAAAAUAAAUCCACUAAGUCUUUCUAUCACAGAAAAAGAUAACAAAGUAAAAUUAUGAUAGCUCUCUCAGCAAAAUUCUGGCUUAAAUUGUACCUUCGAUAUUCCAAUAGCAGAGUGAAUUUUAUUGUAGACUAACUUCUUUCCCAGGUAAUGCAAAGGCAAUAAAAGCGUGGAUAUAAUUCUUGCCCACAACCAGUCUAUCAUAGCAGCAAAAAAUGAAGGCUGGAUAGGACUUUUGGUUAAGACUUUUCCCUUCCCAAGAAUAUUUCAUGCAAGGAAAGGAAAAUACAAAAGGUGUCAGGAAGAAAAUUAUAUUUGGUGAACCAAUACAAAUUACAUAUGUCCAAACCUCAUAAAUUCUCUUAGCCUCCAUGUAUAACAAACUAAUCUUGAUUAAUGUAAGUGCAAUGAACUUCCGAGCAGCAGAGCUUGCAUAAAUUUGCUUAUGUAUCGAACUGCAGGAAGCAAAAAAAGUUUUUAAAAAAUUAGUAACUACAAUCAAGGCAAAGGUUGCAAAUUUUGCAUAUUUCAUAGAUAACAUAUCUACUUGUCCUAGACGCUAGCCAGGAGAGUAAGUUAAUAAUAUUUUGAAGUUAGCAACUAACUGACUAUUCUACAUGUAUACUGCAGUCAACUUGAUGGCAAGAGAUUAUCAGAAGAAACUUAUUAAACGUAAACAAAAUGAGACCAUAGUGAAAAUAAUAAGUCAGCAACCCACAUGACUCUGCCUUCUCGAUGUUAUUGGGACAUCAUGAACUUUCCAAAUUUUCACAUGCUAAUGAGAAUCACCCAGUUCACAUGAACAUAAUAUUGUGAAGUUCCGAAGCACAAUAGCUGACCUGUACAGUGUUUCAUAAACCAAAGGAACUGAUACAAGGUAGUGAGGUUGAUACCGCUGCAAAUCUUCCUAUCAGAAAAUAGGAAAGUCAGAUAGAUGAAGCAAUCAAUGCUUUUCUGUAGUUGAUCUGAACCAAGGAAUAACAAGAAAAUAAUACAAUACUUGGAAGAAGCCAGCUUCUACUUUCAAAACAAAUGAUCUUAGAUCACAAUAUUAAAUCUCAUUCACAUAUCAAGUCUAAAAGUAAAGCAAAUCAAAAUUUCCAGCAAAAUAAGGCUGAAUUGCAGAAAACCACUCUGAAAUGCUGAAAAUAGCUCCAUUUGCUCUUUUCUUCAUGUAAUACAAAAACCUAUAUGUAAUCCCCUCAAUGCUCAAGUGUAGACACCUAACCUCUUCCCGUUAAUCAAGAAUUCUUCGGUACAUAGAAUAUGAUCUGAAAUGAUAAUUAUUCCAUCAUUGUCUAAACAUUUGAAGGGUUAGAUGUAAGAUUUUUAUAUUUCAGGGGAAAACAAGCAAGUAGCACUAUUUGUAUGCUGGGGUUUUUGCAUUUUAUCCACAAAAGAGAUAUAAGGCGUACCUUCAAAUACCUCACAUUUGUGUAAACUUGCUCGAUGCCAUGUGUGAAUGUGAAAUACUCCGCAGCUCGUUCAUAUGAAUGCCAAGAUGGAAGCAUGCUUAGGAACCUGUCUCCAGGCUCUGCAGGAACAAUGUCCCAUAGGUUCUCUAUCUACAAUCAAAGAUCACAAAAACACAGAGAAAGAACAGAUUGACAAUUCUUGUUGAAGGAAAAAGAAGGUACAACAAGUAAUUAUACAAGCAAGUAUCAAAAACAGUUUUCCAAAUUAUUCUUAGGACAUUUCCAUGUAAAGAAAUAAAUUUGAAGCUCAAUAAGAAAGUAUGUUUAAUUCUCUGAACCUAAAUUUAAGUAGGUAGCAUUGUUAGAUGAAAACUGCUUGUGUAGUAAUGCACUACUGUUGCAAAAUAGUAAUUGAGAUCAUCAGCAAGGAACAGAUGGAUUUUCUGCAAAAAGAACUCAACAUGAUUGGUUAAGAUCCAUGGAGAUUCAAUCUUAAAUUUCUUAACUUGUAGAAAUUCAAUUAAUUUAGAAGUAUAUAUUGAAUAUCUGUAACCAAACCUGAUGCAAGAGAUUUCGAUGUGUAAGCAAUACACCUUUUGGCAUGCCGCUUGUUCCGCUUGUAUACAUCACAGUUGCAACAUCUUCAGAAUUGAUGGUUUCAAACGAAUAAUGUUGGCCUAUAAAAUUAGCCAUUCAGUUCAUCUACACAUGAAGUGCUUCAAAAUGUAAGUAGAUGCUGUAUGUGCUGUAAAUAAAAGGCCAUAAUUCAGACGAAUAAAAAAGCCUAAGGCACUACCUUUCCUUUUGUUAUAGACUUCUAAUUGAAUUAUUUUUUCCAUCUAACUAUAGAUACUAUAAUGGUUGCAUCCCGUAUUUCAACCCAUGCUUUUAAUUGGAGUUUUUCAUUUCAUUGACAGCUAGUUAAGUCGAAUGACAGGACUCCAAACUUCGAAGAUCAUCCUACUUGUAAGUUGCAACAUAAAGAAGCAGUCUUCCUAAUAUCAUAAAAUAAUCCUAUAGAUGAACUGGAAAGUUCAAAAGGCGCGUUUGGCUCGUGCUAUCCUGCCAAGAUUACUGAAAAUCUUGCAAAACUCUUUUCAAAUUAUUGUGUUUGGUUCAUCUCGCAUGUUGUCUUGUCAGUAAUGCAGGAUUACUAUUAGCACAAGAGUAGCCCAAAAAAAUUACUGGGGAGGGAGUUUAGGUAUUUUGCAUUGUUGAUUGCGGAUAACCCUGCAACUUACAAAAAAUUCCAAAGUUAACCCUCCAUGCCCCCAAUUGCCUCAAAUUUAAAAUUAUUCAAAAUUCAAAUUUGAAUUUGAAAUUUGAAUUCAAAAACUGAAUUUGAAAUUUGAUUUCGAAUCCCAAAUCAGAAUUUGAAUAUGAAAUUCGAAUUCAAAAUCAAAAUUUGAAUUUGAACCCUGAAUUGGAAAUGUGAACAUGAUUCAAAAUUCAAAUUCAAAAUCUGAACUUGAAAUUAGAAUUUGAAUUCAAAAUCAAAAUUUGAAUUUAAAAUGCAAACUAAAAAACAAUAUUGGAAUUUAAAAUGCAAACUCAAAAUCAAAAUUUGAAUUUAAAAUGCAAACUCAAAAUCAAAAUUUGAAUUUAAAAUGCAAACUCAAAAUCAAAAUUUAAAUUUAAACAAUAUUUAAUCUUAAAUUUAAAAUCUGAAUUUAAAUUUGAAUAUGAGUGCAAGGGUAUUUUUGGAGUAGCAUAAACUUUACUUUAGAAUUACUGAAAUCAAUAAGAUGAAUCAAAUGUUGUGAUCUUACAUGUGUAGUAAUCCGCCAUUAUAUUACUGCACCGAACCAAACCCAGCAAUCAACCAUUAGUAGCAAUUUGAUUCACAGAAAUCAGAUUUCUGGUUAUGUUAAUAUAACCAGGAAUGUUGCAAAGCACGAACCAAUCAGAUCUGUUGUCCUAUUUUGUGUUUCAAUACAAUAUUAUGGAGAUAUUGUUUACUGGGAGGGUGUUUUGGCUAUUUGGAAAUCAAUGUCCAAGAUAUUGGUUACUAGGGGGUGUUUUUGGCUAUUUUGAAACCAACAUCAGAUGUUUUAUAAUCUCAGGCUUAACACAUAUCGCAAUAUUAAUGCGUAUACUUCUUCUCUUUUGGAAAUUAAAUUAAUGCUACAUAAGAAAUUGUAGGAUGUUAAAGCUCUAGGAUUUGAUGCUUAAGCAGUAUCAAAAGAUUAAGCUAUAAUUUGAAGAUUUUUAGUUAUCUAUAAAAUGAAUUAGGAAAAGUUGAUGCCUGAUCAAUAUAAGUGCUUCUCCCUCUCACUGUAAUCUAGAACUUCUAUGCGGAAAGAUAUUAAUAAACUAUAUAAUGAUUGCACCCUAGUAACAGCUAGUAAUAGGUGUCUGAAAACAGAACGAGGAAGCUUCAUUUCUAUUGAGGGAGUAAACCACUAUAUCCAUCAUCUUCCAGCCUGAACAUUCAAGCUGAUCAUCUAUUACAAUGUUAGUAACUAAGCUUGUUCUUUUACAGAUAUCUGUUUACAUGCAAAUGCAGCAGAGCCAUUUCAAGUGUAACUUGAUGGUGGAUUCGGAAAUUCACUGACGAGCAAUUAAAAAUAGCUAAAAAUGUGCAGAUCUUACCUGAAUUUUAAUUUGUUUUGAAAUGGAUACAUGUAUUUUUGUAUUCACUGCCUAACUUUCCAUUGUUAAUUUUUUGUUUUGAAAUGGAUACCUGUACUUUUGUAAUUCACUGCCUAACCUUACAUUGAUUUUAGGGCUUUUUUUUGCAUUUGGCCCCAUCAAAAUAUAUUUUUUUACAAAUAGCCCCAUCAAAAUUUAUAAUUACAAAUUUGGCGCUAUCCCCGCCACAUAGGCUCCAGAUCAGCGCCAUGAUUUUAAGUUGAACACGGUGAACCAUUCACUGUGUUUGAACACGGUGAAUGGUUCACCGUGUUCCAAACCUAUAUUCCCCCCCUUUCCCCUUUUCAAUACUUAUAUUUUUUCGUAAUACAAUACAUAUAUACUAUAUUUUUCCCAAACACGGUGAACCAUUCACCGUGUCUAAACAUGGUGAAUGGUUCACCAUAUCUAAACAUGGUGAAUGGUUCACCGUGUUCAACUUAACAAAUUGGCCCCAACCCCGCUCACGUGGCACUGACGUGGCGCUUGCGUGGCACUGACGUGGCGCUUGCGUGGCAGGACUAGAGCCAUUUUUGCAAAUAUAAAUUUGCCGGGGCUAUUUUUAAAAUAAAUUUUUUUUAGGGGGCCAAAUGCAAAAAAAGCCCUUGAGUUUAACUAAAGAAAAUUCCAUCAAUUUCCAUUAUGACUAAACAGUUUCCAUCAAAAAAAUAUCAAAGAAUGUUCUAUUAGGUUAUUGAAUAUUGUGGUUAAAAUUUUUAAAAUACCAUUACGUAGAAAAUUACAGGUAAUUAAAUCGAACUUACUAGAAGGUUAGGUAGUAAAAUCAAAAUUUUUCAAGUUCUGUGAGAAUUUAAGGUUAGUUAUGCAUGUUUUAACCUAAAAAUUGGAGAGACGCUUUCCAUGCAUACUUUCUCAUAAAAUGUAACGGAUUAUUACCUUCUUUGCAAGAUUGGAGCAAUGCAUCGCGGCUUUCCUGCCCUAGUUUUAUGAUUUCUCUAUAGUCAUAUAAGGGUAUGUCCUUUAUUGAUUUGCUAUUUAGGCUUGAUUUCUCACCCCAAAGUAGAACAACAAAUCUUACAUCUACCCUCGGAAUGAAUGAUUCUGCAAGCCUGUUAAAAAAUUGUGGACUAUCCACCACAAGUGCAACGCUGCAAAAACGAGCAUAAAUGAAAGAGAAUAAGUCAUCGCAGAAUUGUAAGUCACAACAGGAAAAGAAGACAGCAGCUUUCAACAUGAAUGAUGGUUUGGACACACCAUUCACACAAACACUGGCAGCAUGAUUAAUUAUUUAUAGCAUAUAAUUGGAACCAAAAUUUAAAAAAACAAAAUAAGGGCACUGAACUAGUAGUGAAUUCAUGAAGUCAAAGAGAAGAAGAAAAGAUAAAUAAAGUAUUCAGAAAGACUGAAGAUAAGACUACAAUGCUCAUAGGGACCCAAGACGCAUGCAAUGCAACACUUAAAUACAUAUAUAGUGAUUUGUCUUAUACUGACAAAAUCAACAGCCCCCUGACGCCACCAAAGCGCAAAAAUUGAUAAAACUUCAGAAGUCGAGCAACAUAUAAUACACAUAAGGAUUUCUUACACAUCUUUACAUAACAUAAAGGAAACAAGAAGUUCUAGACGAUCUCCGCUACCCACAAAAGAACCAUCAUAAUUUUUCUUUUCUUUUUUUUUUUGGGCGGGGGAAGAGGGGGUGGGGGUGUGUUUUUGGGCAAGACAAAUGUUCAAGAUAUUAUACCUUCUCCAACAUCCAUGUUGAUAUAUGUAACUCAUCGGAGCAGUUAAGAGGCAAAAUAUAAUGUACGAAAAUUGUAGCAAAGGAAACUCACCUGUCAGAAUGGUUGUAUAUUUGCAUCAAUUCUUCGUCGGAAGAUCUUGUGCCUCGAACAACAUUGAUUGCACCAGUAGCCAUAAUUCCUGCAAGACAACUGGCCCAAAAUGUAAUGCAUGGAAAGCAGUAAAAUAAUAAUAAAUAAAUCAAACAUAUAAAUGCAACCUAUCAUUUUGCAUGAGACAAAAAGAACAGCAACAGUGAAGGUUAUAUAUAAUGGAGCCUUCUUUUGCAAACUCCAAGUGGUUAUUUCUUUCAGCUUGGAGCCUUGAUGAGAAGUCAUAUGUAUUCACUUCAUAUUACCAUGGAAAAAUAAAAAUAACAAAGAUUCCACUGGACCUGCCAUUAUUUAGACUGAGCGUGUCAAAUUCGUGGUACUGCUGUUAAUGCAAAUUUAAUCGCGUGAGAGAGAGAGAGGGUGAGGGAGACCUAGAUUUUGCACCCCAGCUAGUAGAUGGCAAGAACAAUUUGAUAGGUCAUAUUUUCCUCUAAAUGCUUCCUAGUCAUCAAAAGAAUCAGAAUGGGGAGGAAAGACAACGAGGACCAUCAGGCCUAGUUUAAUGACCCAUGUUAGGGUCAAAUUCUGUCAGAAUAACAUGAUCUAAAAUUCUGAAGGAAAGGGGAAUUAGGUGUGCAAGUAAGAAUUACUUCUAUUGAAGAGUUUGUUUGAACUAAUAUGAGUGGCAAGAUGAAAUUACUUUGAAGCGCAGUAUGCAUUCUGCUGCAGGGAAAUCCUCAACUUCCUAUGUCUCAUAUCUUCAUCCAACAUAGGAAAACAAUUGGAGCCUAAGAAUUAUCAAUUUUUUUCACAUCUGUCUCUUACCCUGGUUUGGUGAAGAGUCAUCGUAUAGAUGUGGCAAUUUAUCUUCAUAUUUCCUUUCCAAGAUUUGUUCUUUAUAUAUUACUUUCCUAUUUACUACAUAAACAUAAUUAUGAGUUGAAGUAAAUUAAAAUUUGGACACAUAUAAUGUGACAGGAUAUGCUCCAUAUAUGCUAUCCCUUGGCAGGGUACAUAAAUGCAGCCUCCUUUUAAGAUAUUAAUAUUCAUAAAGGCUAACAGUAUUCAAAAGCAAGUCCCGUGCAGGAAAAAAAAAAAAAAGCCCAUAUUAAUUUUUAAAUUUUCUCAAAAGAAAAAAACCUUUAUCUAAUCACUUCACAUCAGUAAGACCUAUGAGUGUUGACAGUACAUAAACAAUUCUUGAUAUACCUUGAUCGGCAACCAGCCACCUGCAUGAAUUGUCAGCAAAAAGCGCCAACUUUUCAUCUGGAAUAACUCCUGCUACUCUUAAACCUUCAGAGAAGUUCAAAAUUUCUUGUUCAAGCUGUGAUUGGAGGAAAGAAUUUGACAUUUCAGAAACAUUAUUACUCCAGUAAAUCCUGAUAAUUUACUCAUUUAUCAAGAAAAUCAAAACUUAAAUCGAGCCUACUUUUCCUAUUAUCUGGUAUGGUUUCAAGAAUCCUAAAUAAAUUUGAGAAUGCAUUCAGUCAUCCAUAGAGCAUCAACAUAAUCUUUAGAAAAUUAGAUAAUAACGUGGACUAGCACUUUUGCAAGAAUAAACCAGCUAGCAGGUUGAAUGCCAUGUGAGUGACUGCUUGCAAUUUUGUUGGAGUUCGAAGAAAAGAGAGAUCAGUGCUUCCUCACUUGAAAGUUGAAUGCAAAGCAACGUGAAGUCAUGUUAACAUGCAUGAUGGGAAAAAUUAAUUAACUAACAAGAUAAAAAUGGUUAUCAACAAUUCUUUUAUUUGAAAAAAUAAUAAAAGAAUUAAUUCAACUCGUCCUUUCUUUACUUCUUCAUGAAGGAAAUGAUAUCUUGUAUCUAUAUGUUUACUUCUCCCAUGAUGCACUGGAUUUUUAGAUAGCUCAAUUGUUGAUUUAUUAUAGAUAAAUAUCGGGGUAGGAGAAUUUUGAAUAUAAACCUAAUUCUUGUAAUAAGAUUUUUAAUCAUAUUUCUUCACAAACUUCACAUGUUGAUAAGGUUACAAUUUGCCAUUUCUUUGAACUCUACGUAAAAGCUAUAGAACCCAUAAAGAAAACAUAUCCCGUAGUGCUUUUUCUUUCAUCUUGAUCUCUGACCCAAUCAAUAUCUGUAUAUCCAAUUAAUUUCAACUCUUUUGAAUUUGUAAAGUAUAACCCAUGACCAAUGGUACCAUUAUAUAUCUUAAAAUCCGUUUUACAACUUGCCAGUGCGAUUCCAUUGGAUCAUCCAUAUAUCGGCUGAUUAAUCUGACUCCAUACGUGAUAUCUAAUCUACUCAUUGUUAAAUAGUGAAGACUUCCUAGUAGGCUUUUAAGCAUAGUAGAAUUAAUUUUCUUUCUUGAAUCACUAAUAAAUUUCACAUUGCCACCAACAUUAGUUUCUUACUUCUACACAUAUAAUUUGAAGCAUCGGAAUCCAGAAACCAUACAUAUUGUGGACCUUUAACUUCGGCUCAACAUGCAAGUAGUAGUGAAGUUUCUACAACUUUAUCUUCUAAAGUACUCGAUGUAGUAAUUAUUCCUUCAGUAUUUUUAUACCAGCAAUAGUUGCUACAGUGACCAUAUUUUUUACAAUUAUAACAUUGGGUGUUGGAACUUGCCCCACCAUAAGACCCUGGAUGAUUGUUAUUACGUCUGCCUUUUUUUGGUCCAUAUUCAUGUCGUGAAUUGGUGACCACUGUUGUUGCUACUUUGUCGAUUAUUGUUAUAUCUCUUUUGAUUCUUAUAUUUAUUAUAAUUAUUUUCUCCACGAUUCUUGCCUUCCCUAUUUAUUAAGUUUCAAUUUUGACUUGAGAGCUUGCUCAGUCGACUUAUUUUCAGGACUUCAGAUACCUUUUGUAGUAUUUGCUUAUCUGCUUGGAAGGGAUCCUGUCAAUUGGUUGAUAGAAAGAAUACUAACAUCUUUUGACUCUUCUAUGAUGACAACAAUAUGCUCAAAUUUUGAUGUGAGGCCGUGAGGGAACGAAGAACCUUUUCUACAACUCGUUCAUCAUCAAGUUGUUCUUCAUUUCGCUUCAUUUGUUUUACAAUAACCAAAAAUGCAAGAAAUAUGGUCUGCAACACUUUCGGACUCCUUUAUUCGGAUUGCUUCAAAUUCUGCUUGAAGCUUUUGAAGACAAAUUUGCUUCACUUCAUCAUCUCCUUUAAAGACGGCGGCAAGAAUAUCCCAUGCUGCUUUGCUCGAAGUUGCUUCCGCAAUUUUCUCGAACGACGACUUUUCUACGGCUUGGUAAAGAUAGAAGAGGGCCUUUUUGUCCUUCUUUCUUGCAUCCUUCAAAUCAUUUCGUCGGGCUAUGUGUAUUCUUGGUACCCAGUUUUAACUAAUUCCCAAAGAUCUUGAGAACCAAGAAGUUCUUUCAUUUGAAUGCACCAAUUCUCGUAAUUGUCUUUUAAUAGUUUUGGGAUUCGGGUUUGGAGAAGUUGAUUGGCCAUUUUUUUUGACAAAAUUUCUUUCUAGCAACCUUUCUCUCAGAGAUGGAGCCAUGUAUAGAUCCAAAAGGGCCAUGGUCCCCCUCAACUUUUCGAUAUUUACUUUAUAGUCCGUUGGUAGCUUAUAAAUUUUUAGUUAAUUUUUAAAAUAUAUGGGCCUAUCUUGUAAAAAGUUUUUAGUGCUAAUAUAGAGCCCUCUCUCUUCUUAGAUGUUUUACAGGUGAAAAUAUACUAAGAACCUCUUAAUUAUAGUGUAUUUUGAAAUAAGCCCUUUCAACUUUAAAUAUUUUAUUUACUUAACUUUCUAAUUAUUUUUUAUGAGCUAAUUUAUUUAACUAAAUAAAAUAGUAUGCUAAAUUUAAUAGCUCUGUUAGAUAUUAGCCAUUGGUUGUUAUUAUUUUAUUAACAAAAAUUAAAAAAAUUAAAUUCUAACUAAAUUACUAUUAGAUUUAGUAAAAUUCUUAAGUUAUUUGAAUGGAAUAAUGCAAAUAAAAUAAUUAGAAGUUAAGCGAGUGUAAAUUAAAGAAAUAAAUUUAAUAUUUUUCAGCAUUAAUUAUCUAAUCACUAAAUUUUUUUAUUAAAAAUUUGAGUAGUUAAAAUCUUAUUUAUCUGCUAAAAUUUUUAUUUGUACAUAUUUUGGCCCCCCUUGUGAUUGAAUCCUGGCUUCGUCCCUGCUUUCUCUGAUACCAAAUGUUGAUGGGUUUAAACUAUAUUAAAACUGGAACAACCAAAUUUAUUUAAAUAUGAUUGAACUUAAAUACAAUUUGAUCCAAACAACACAACAAAUUACAUGCCCUCUAUUUAUAGAGCAUGAAACUACGCAAUUUUUCACGAAAAUAGACAUCCCUUCGCUAAAGGUGUAACGACCCAGCCCACUAGCAACAAUAACUCGUUGGGCCCAACAACCGGCCCAAAAUGCUUAAGCCCAGUUAUUAUUACUAGUGUCUAAGUCUCUUAUAAACUCAAUGACAACCCCAUUCCCAUCCGAUGUGGGACUAUUGGGGUGUCACAGACUCCCCCCGUUAAGGCCCUGACGUCCUCGUCAGUCCAAUCACACACACAGCCCAAGAUCACCAGACGAUGUGAGACUCGUCUCGCUAGCCCGUCAUCCAGACCCUGGCUCAGCCGAAACUCGCCACACAUGUCCAGCUGGUGAACCGGCUCUGAUACCAAAUGUAACGCCCCAACUUCCCAGGGGGUCACCCAUCCUAGGACUACUCCCGUCCUAGCACGCUUAACUCUCUUAACCUCUUGGGUCUAGCUACCACCCAAAAUGCUUAAGCCGGGUUAAGAGUUUAGCCCUAUUAUAUCUUAUAUAUAGGACUAUCUGGGGUCUCACAAAAGGACAUAACCCUAAACUAAAAGACACAACCUUACAAAGGGACAUGUCCUUUCAUAAGGUACACAACCUUUCAACAAAAGAACCAAAUAUUAAACUAAUAAACAAGCUUAUAAUUUAACAACAUGAGGACAAGAAUGAUGAUCGUGAGUGCAAAGGCAAUUAAUACCAACAAUUGUGGAAGAUAGAAAAAGUAUACAAGUGGAUUAUGACAAAUUGUUUACAACCCGGUGCCAUAUACUACCAGUGUGCCAAACCACUUGCUUGCCUUCUAGUGAAGAGCCUCAUUCAAAACCUUUCAUAACAAAAAUAACAGAUGUGCGUCCUUAUAUUGUUCGCUUCAUUUUAGUCCCAUAAUUCUGUGAUAAGUUACAAAUAAGUUCCAUGCUUACAAAUUCAAAAUGAGCUUAUUACUGAAAAAGGCAGCUAACCGUUUUUUUUUUUUUUUUGCUCGAACAUUCAUUUUGCUUCUUGCAUAUGCAAAUACUAAAUUAUCAAUCUUAUUCUAACUUGAUCUUAGUUCUGUUUGCAUGAUUAACAACACUCGUAUUAACAUGCCAUUUUGUUUAGGCAUCAAGUCAAAAUCAAAAAAGGAACAACAAAGAGAAGAACAGCUCCAAGUUCAAAGAUCAUAUAUACAGCUUGAAUGUGUGAGAAAUUCUGUGUGAAGAUUAAGAGAUACGAAUAUCAAACUAAUAAAUUUUGAUGGCUAAAAGAAGUAGUCAAUAUAAUCUUCACCUGCUUAUAAGUUAAUUGUGAUGGAGGAUCAUGAUAAGGAUCCACCAAUGCAACCCGAUCGCCAUAUUUUUCUGCUGACGAUCUCCAGAUAUCUGGAACUGCCUUCCACUCAUGUGAGGUCAGAUCAUUCCCACCAGGCAAUAGCGCACUAUCCAAGAACGGGGAGUGCCUCCUCCUUACUUGGAAUUCGACCUACAAUUCAAAUUUCAAGGUGUUUCUUCUUUUUCUUAGCGUGCAACUACUUGAAACAGAUCUCGCAAGCAUGACGGGCAAAGAGGCAUAAAAUCAAAAUGAUCCACCUCUGUAGCAGAAAAACUAAUUACUUAAAUUCAAAAAAUCAUAACAUAUGUUUUGCUUCUAAAAUGCAUAAUGAUAUGAAAUGGCCAAAGAAAGCAUGAUAAUGGAUAAGCAGCCCAAAGAAAUCAAACUCAUUCAACUCCAAGGAAGAGGAAACCCUAUAAUUCAAAUUUGGGGCAAUUGCUUAUAUACCCCUGAAAAAUUCCCGACUUUCUGAUUUACCCCUCUUAAAAGGCUAAUAUUGAAAAUAUCCUUUUUACGUUCCAACCUAUUUCAAAUAUACCCCUAGAGUUAAAAUCUGUUAAUUAACUCUGUUAUCUGUAUAAAAUUACUAUUUUGCCCUUUCAAAUAUACCCUUCACCAUCACCGACUUUUCUUAUUUGCCCUUAAAGUCAGGGGCACAAAAAGUAUUUUGACUUUUGGUCUUUUCAAAUAUACCCCUCUACCGUCACCAGCAUUUCUUAUUUGCCCUUAAGUUAAAGGCAAAAUUGGUAUUUUAAUUUUUUUUAACUAUGGUAGAUAUUUAACUCACAUUUAAUCCAAGUUAACUUAACAGGAGAUAACUGCAGGGGUAUUUUGCAAUAACGGUAGAACAUAUGAGGGGUAUUUUAGAAAGAAAAAAAAAUAGGGAUAAAUCGGAUAUUUUCAAACGUAUGAGGGGUAUAUAGGUAAUUAUCCCUUCAAAUUUUGAAUGUAGUCCAACAUAUUUUCCUUCUCAAUCUAACUAAUUAGCAACAUGAGACACAAGCAUGAUUAUGAAUCAAGGACAUAAAGUAAAAAUGAUUCACCUCCAAAUAACAUAAAAUCCUAUAUUCAAAUUGAAAAGCUUAAUUAUUGGUAAAAAUACAAUAAUAAUACAAUAAAAUCAAAAUGACGCCUCUACCUAUAUAUAAUUCAAAUCAAGCUUGUUACAUCUCAAUCAAGCAUAAUUAAUGGUAAAAAUACAAUAAUAGACAACAUGUAACAUCUCAAUCAAGCAUAAUUGUUGGUAAAGCUACAAUAAAAUCAAAAUGACGCCUCUACCUAUAUAUAAUUCAAAUUUAAUAACCUAGUACGAAAUGUUUUCCUUCUCCAUCUAAAAACUAACAACAUGAAACAGCUCAACAAAGCGUAAUUAUUAUGGAUAAGAGGCAUCAUAACGAAAUCAAACUUAACCCCAAGCAGCAAAAUGCCCUAUUACUCAAAUCCAAAACCCUAGAGUAGAUCAAUAGAGUAUAACUCUCGAUAAGAGACAUAAAGGAAAUCAAAAUGCUUCACCUGACCCGAAUUUCCAAAUUGAAAACCGUAGUACAAUAUUAGCUCAACGAAGCAUGAUUACCAACACAGGGCACAAAUAAGUCAAAACAAUUCGCAGUUAAGCAGCAAAAACCCCAUAUUUCAUAUCCAAACCCUUGUACGAUACGUUUAACUUAAUCUAAACAAUCAACAAACAAGAAUCAACUCAAUCAAGCUUGAAUAUAGAAAAGAGGCCAAAAACAGAAACAACGUGACUCACCUUUAAGCAGCACAAAACCCUAGCUCCCCGAUCGGGGCGGAUCGAAAGGCCACCCCUUCGUCUCAAUCGGCAUACUCCGGAGCCUCCGAUCAACGGCGUUCCGCGGCGAUCGAGGCCACAUAGAACGGGCCUAGAUUGGACACAAAAUGCUGCUUGAAUCAUACCUGUACUCGAUCGCCGAUCCCUCCCCCCAGUGAAUCCGAUCUGAGGAAGCAGAACAGGAGAGAGAGAGAGUGUGUAUGUAUAGUAUGGAGAGAGAGAGAGAGAGCGAGAGAGAGAGAGAGAGAGGGUGGGGGAGAGGGAAAUGGCCUCGAGGGCUCCGUUGCGUUGUGGGGGAGGGGGAGGAGGGGGGGAGAAGAGAUCGAUGGAGGAGACGACGACGACGACGACGACAAUGUACUAGUCGCAGCUUAAGCGUGGAAACUGUUGUUGCUUGCACCGGGUGUAUCAAAAUAUUUCACCCACAAUUUUUUUGCCGGACUUUUUUCAUAUUUAGCCCCCCUCAAAAAAGAAAAUUUGAUAAAUGGCCCUUGCAAAUUUAUAUUUGCAUAUAUGAUCCUUUUCUUGCCACACUAGUGCCACAUUGGCAAUUUUAAGUUGAAUACGGUGAUUGAAUCAACGUGUUUAUAUUCACACUUUAGUUUUUUUUUUUUUUUUUUUUUUUUUUUUUUUUUUUUUUUUUUUACUUACUAAGGCUAAGAACAAUAAAAAAUAUAAAAAAAAUACGGUAAUUGAAUCACUAUGUUCAACUUAAAAAUGCUACCUAGGCGCUGGCAUGAUAGGAAGAGGACUAUUUAUACAAAUAUAAAUUUGUUAAGGCUAUUUAUAAAAAAAAAAAGUUUUGAGGGGGCUAAGAAAAAAAAAGCCUAUUUUUUAUUUUUCCUUGGGGGGAAUUUAGGGACAGGGAUGCAAAAAAAUCAGAAUUGAUGGAGCUCUCAUCUUUGAAUAGAAAAGUAAGUAGAGGCAAAAAAUAAAUAAAAAAUAAUUUGUUCUAAAAUUAUUCUGAUAUACUAAGAAAUGAAGUGAGAGACGAAAAGCUAUUUUCUUUUUUUGAUAUGCCUCGCUUCAGUGAAAUACUAUUUUCUUCUUUCGAUAUGUUUCGCUCCAGAGAAAUUUCGCUUCUGUGGUGAAACGAUAAUUAGAGGUAAAAAUUAAGGUAAAAAUUGUUGAAAGCAGAAUUUAAUUUUGAUUAUAUAUAUUGCCUAUCUGAGGAAGAGACACCAAUAGAUUGGCCUAGAAAUUGACGAUUUUUUUUAAAAAAAAAAUUCAGAGGAGUGAGUACAGUUAUGAUGAAAUUUUUACUAAGUAAUUUGUUAAUUUCGCUUUUCAAAUGAAUUUGGCUACAUUAGAUAGUAGCCAUAGGGCCCCAAGAUGGAAAAAAUAUCUCACAUCUUGUUUCCCAAUUUGAGGUGGUCUUUUGUGUAGCAGUUUGUCACGACUUAAAGAUUUUCUCCGAGAUUUUCCUUUCAACCCGUUAAGUCCGUGACAAGUUGCACUAUAUUAUCUAUAUUUCAAGCCAAUUAAAUUUUUUUUUAAAAAAAAGUAUUACACUUUUUUUAAAAAAAUCAUAAUGAAUAUGUAAAUCCUAAGACUUCGUUUGGUUCGGAUAUAAGAAAGAACUAGUCAUACCGGGAAUAAGUACAAGUAUGAGUUUUCGUAAAAACAAGGAUAUUUUUUUGUUUGGAUGAAAAUGUGAGUAUAAGCUAGAACUAGAAAAAUUGUGUUUGGAUGGUUAUUGGGAAUAAGAGAAAUAGUUCAUGGUUAUAAAUAGAAAAUAAUGAUAUUACCCCUCUCAUUAUAUUUGAAUUUAAAUUUUAAAAAUUAAAAUUUUAAAUUUUAAAUUUUAAAUUUGAAAUUAAAAUUUUAAAUUUUAAUUUUAAAAAUUUUAAUUUUAAAUAUCAAAUAUUAAAUUUAAGAUCAAAUUUAAAUUUGAAAGAUAUAAAAUAUCAAAUUUAAAAUUUAAAAAUUAAAAAUAUCAAAUUAAAAAUUUAAACUUUAAAAUUUAUAAAUUUUAGUUUUGAAAUUAUAAAUUUUAAAUUUUAUAAAUUUAAAUUAUAAUUUAAAAUAAAUAUAUAUCUCUCUCUCUCUCUACCAGGUGGGGGUGGGAACAACUUGUUCCCACCCCUCCCAUUCUUGUUUGGGUACAAGAGGGGGGAAAAGGGGGUUAUCUUGAUUGGUUAGGAAUAUGGUGACGUGGUGACACUGCCAUAUUCCUUUUUUUUUUUUCCUAAGAUUUUAGACUUUACAUAUUGUAUAAGUUUUUUUUUAAUCUUAUAAAACAUAUCUUACGUGCAAAGGCUUUUAAAAUAAAAUUGUAGAAUACAUCUUAUGUGCAAAGACCUUUAAAAUAGAAUUGAAGACCAACCAUCUUUAACGCAAGUGGCAAAGGGUAUGGUGGUUGGGGGUCGUAUCGGGAAGAUUGAAAAACAAAAAAUAUAAUGUUUAUCUUAGAUAAAAGAUGUUUCUGAAAACCAAAUAUUGUAAAGUGGGGUGCAUGUUAAUAUCCGACACUUUUUAAACAAAAUAUUGGCUUUUUCAAAGUUUUGAACAUCCUGGGUUUUUUUUGUGUGUGCUAAAAGUUGAUAUUGACAUCGUGCAGACAGAGAUUGCAGCCCUUAUGUCUGUGGCGGAUCUGGCAUCAUUCUUUGUAUGAUCGUCCAUCAUGAUUUGAGGCCUGAUAAUAGCAAGUAUUUUACUUGUAAAGAUUUGUUAUCUGCUUGCAGUAACGGGCUGCUACUUUGUCUCUUCGAAUUUUCAUGGUCUGUGUCAUUAAACCGUUCUCAAUCUGAAUUUGGAAAAAUAGAAUAAAUAAGCUCAAUAGAAACAUUAUGAUUAGUAGAUACAAUAGUGCAAAGUAAAAAAAAGAUUUAAUAUUUGCUAAAAUUUACCGUAAAAGGUUCAUCUCCUAUUGAAAUAGGUCCGAUAUGAAAAGUGCACUCAGAAGUCCUGGAAUUAGAUAAGAAGCAGUGAAUUACUUUUACUGAUGAACAUAAACAAAAUAAAUUCGAAUUCCAUAUUAGAGUUUUGAAAAUUUUACCAUAUAAUGAUAUAGAACAUGCAUAAAAAGACACAUUGCUUUUAAUUUGCAGUAUAAAGAUAGUAACUGCUAAAUUUGAGUUUAGGGAAAUUAAAAACAUAUUAAGCAAUCAAAACAUAAAGAAAGGUUACUAUAUAUAUAUCUUUAAUGAAGAGAAAAUGAUAUUGCAGUAGUUAUUUCAAACAAAAUUUUGCCUAAUGUUAUGUACUUUGCACAUUUCAAAAACAAGAAUUCUUUGAAAUAAAAGGAGGGAAAAAGGAAAACUCGAUCAUAACUAAAUUUAGCAUCUCAUUAUGUAGCAAUUACCAUACAAGAAUGCUUAAGGGAGUGAGGCUUACCAAGUUCUGAUUUCAUCAUAUAGUAAACUCAUCAUUUUUUCUUUGCUAAGCUCUAUUGUUUCGUCGCCGUUGGACAUUUUUCGUGCAACUGCUAAAAUUUCAUCUUUGUUGGGAACAACAAGAGCUCCAAGACGACGUUGGUCCUGCAUAAAACAAACGAUCAAUUAAAGUAUCCAACUGAAGAAAACUACUUCUGGAGUCACUACUCGCAAAACUUGACGGCAUGUAUAACUGACUAAUAGCAACACCCUGCUUUCCAGAAGGUCACCCAUUUUAGAAUUACUUUAGUCGUAGCACACUCGACUCUCUUAAUUUAUUAGGCCUAGCUAUCUCCCAAAAUAUUAUAACCUGAUUAAGAGAUUUAGCUUUAUUAUAUUUAUAUAUAGAACUAUUCUAAAUCCUAUGGGUGUCACAUUCCUCCCCACUUUAAGCCUUUCAAGCAUACUUACAAGCACGAAGCGAUGUGAGACUCAUCUCGCUCGCCUUACCUGAUCUUGUCAUCUCGCUAGCCCUAGCCGAUCUUGUAACUUAUGGGGAGCCCCGCUCCACAUACAUGUAACGAUCCGACACGCUAGCAAUAAUAACUCGUUGGACCCAAACCACCGGCCCAAAAUGCUUAAGCUCAGUUACGAGUUUAAUCGUAUUAUAUUUUAUAUAUAGGACUGCCUGGGGUCUCACAAUCCCCCCUCCUUUAAGCCCUGACGUCCUCAUUAGGCUCAGACUCACAAGUACCACGCGAUGUGAGACUCGUCUCGCUAGCCUUGUACGACCCUAGCUCAGCCGAAACUCAUCUCACACUUUUGGCUACUAAUUGGCUCUGAUACCAACUGUGACGCCCCAACUUCCCAGGGGUCACCCAUCCUAGGACUACUCCCGUCCUAGCACGCCUAACUCUCUUAACCUCUUUGUAACGACCCAGCCCACUAGCAAUAAUAACUCGUUGGGCCCAACAACCGGCCCAAAAUGCUUAAGCCCAAUUAUUAUUAAUAGUGUCUAAGUCAUUUAUAAAUCCAAUGACAACCCCAUUCCCAUCCGAUGUGAGAUUAUUAGGGUGUCACAGACUCCCCCCGUUAAGGCCCUGACGUCCUCGUCAGUCCAAUCACACACACAGCCCAAGAUCACCAGGCGAUGUGAGACUCGUCUCGCUAGCCCGUCAUCCAGACCUUGGCUCAGCCGAGACUCGCCACACAUGUCCAGCUGGUGAACCGGCUCUGAUACCAAAUGUAACGACCCAGCCCACUAGCAAUAAUAACUCGUUGGGCCCAACAACCGGCCCAAAAUGCUUAAGCCCAGUUAUUAUUAAUAGUGUCUAAGUCACUUAUAAAUCCAAUGACAACACCAUUCCCAUCCGAUGUGGGAUUAUUAGGGUGUCACACUCUUAGGCCUAGCCACAACUCAAAAUGCUUAAGCCGGGUUAAGCAUUUCAAAAUGAGUUUCCGAGUAGGAAAUGUUUUAAACUAAUAGAUGUGGAUUUAUGAAUAAAGCGGAAAAUCCUUUUUAAAACUGUUUCACAAACAGAAAGCUUUUCUUUAAAACGCUACAACGAGGGAUAGAAAAUCAUUUUCACAACUCAUAUGAUAAUAAUUAAAACAACAUUAUUUAACUUCAUAAAGCCAUUUAUAUCCAAUUGAUGAAAUAAAACUAACUGAACCAUAAAAUGUAUAAGUCAUUUAUUGUGAGAAAGCAAGAUUAGAAACUAAACCAGAUGAACCGGGUCAGAAGCUCCAUCGACUGCUAAGUACGAGACUCACGCCUCGUCCCGACUCGAACUAGCAACGUCACCUGAAAAAUGGUAAGGGGUGAGAAUAUGUACACACGUCUCCCCUCCCAGUGGGUACCGCAAGCCAACGAAGGCGAGAAGUACUCACCGGCAAAAGAAAGAGAUAACCAAGUAUAUGUGAAGUAAAGUAAAGCAAGGCCUACAGUAGCAAGACAAGUGUAAAGAAAAGAACUGUAAGUAUGCAUACAACAACCGCUACUAUAGCCAUAUGCGUCAACUGGACGAAUAGUCCAAAUAUAUCCAAUCUAAACCGUCGUGUCAGUCUAAGGACCUCAGGCAAAAGCCACUCCUUGCUCGCUCCUAGCAUGUAACCCUAGCACAAAAGAGAACACCGCUGGGCUCACGGAUAAGAUAUAAGACCACUUUUUUGGAAAAGAACACCUUCCUGCGGGAGAUCAGCCCGCUGGUAUACGUGAAAUGCUCUUAAGCUGUGGCGAUCGAUGCAGAUAUGAUCAAUAGCCAACCGUUGACUAAUAGCCAACAAUCACCGCCUCUCGGGGCACAUCGACUAAUAGGUCAUCGAACUGUAAGGAAACACAAGUACCGACCACUUAGGUCAAUUAGGAUGGAACAACUCAACAUCCUCCCAAAGGUAUGUGAGUACCGACCAAUAGGCCACAAGAAUGUCACAUCAGGCAUCAGUAUAAUUAAGAACUAGCCGUCAGCUACUAGCCGACAAUCCUAUCCCUCAGGGUACACCGACCUCAUAGGUCAUCAAACGGCAGGAGUCACGAAACCGACCAACUAGGUCACAUAAAUGUCAAAUCAUGGAUCAGUGUAAUCUAUAACUAUCCGUCCGCAACUAGUCGACAAUCCUACCCCUCGGGGUAUAUCGACCUCAUAGGUCAUCAAACAAUCGGAAUAUCUGGGACCAACCAAUGGACGAGGUGCAAACAAUGUGCGCUCUACUUCUAGAUCAUGAUAGUAAGUAUAGAAAACACGAAGUAGAGCAAUACAUAAAGGUUCACAUGGUGUUGGGCUCAACAAUGGUAAACAAUUGCAAUAAUAGAGAUAAGGUAGAGAGAAUAUCACUGAGCAUGCACCAUUAGACCGACUCCGGAACGAAGUACCCACCUGUGUGAAUAACACGCCUGUCUCUCGACUGUGGAAGAUCGUCAACCGGACCUACGAAGGGUCCACCAGGUUAGUAUCUAACCCAUAUACAAAGAACACUAAAUCCACAACCCCACAAAUAAUAUCACGGGGAUCGGUUUUCCAAAACCGAUUAUCGUAACUCGCCGGGAGUCCCAAAAAUCGCACCGUUUCCGAGACUCAUCAACUCGUGCCAUGAGUCACCCGCUACCACAAAACACAUCGUUUUGGAUGUCUUGGCAGCAAACACAAGGUCACCCAUCGAAACAAUUAUCGUCGGAUAAUCGUUCGGAUCCGGGUUCCCGAAAGUGUCAAUUCCGACACCGAAACCCACCGUCGCUCACCCGUCAUCUCUGAGCUCUCGAGAUGACUAUAGUGACAAGCCAAUAAGGCUCAACGACAAAACCCAGGGUAUUCUAACACCGUCGGAUGAAAUCCGAAUCGAAACCACGUUUCGCCGGCGAAUUUCACCGAAAAAUGCACCAAAAUCGAUAUUCAAUUUUUGCGAAGGGCAUCGGACCUUGGACGAGUAGUCCAGAGGUCACCUACCACCCACACGUACUGCCCACACCAGCCACAAGAUAGCAAUUUACAUCAAAGCCCCCACUAAUAUAUAAAAUCACAUUAUUUUAUGUAAUUUUUGGGGUUUUACGGCUCGAUACCGCAAAUCGAGGGCUUUCACGGUCAGUUGAGACGCGUACUGAUAGGUCUCAAUGUGCUCAUGGUCCGGAGCACGAUAGCUCACUGUGGAGAGCGCGGGAGCGACCCGAAGUUCAGCGAACUAUGCGUACUGAACUUAAACCGCGCAUAUUUCACAAAUCGGGGCUUGCUGACCCCAAAGAAGAUGAGCACGAUGAUUAGCACUGAUCAAGAAUCAUCGUGCUCACUUCCAGAGGCAUUGGGGUGGCCUUAGAUCGCUGCAACAAUGCAAACAACCUCGAAAUAGUGCACAAACAACAGUAAAUUAGCUUAUCGGCCAAGGGAAAGUUAGGGCACGACUGGCGGCGGCUCGGCGGCGGGUGCGCCGACGACAGGUGGGUGCGACCGGUGGCGGGAGGUUGCCGCACACGUUGGCCGGUGGCGGGAGGCGGCGGCGGCGACGCUGGAGCAACCUGAGCCAGCAUGAGCUCGGCUCGGGUUCAGCUGAUCAUCGCGGCCACGGCGGUGACCGAGUAGUUGUGGGGCGAUGGCGAUGGGUCACAAAGGGAGGGGUUUGAGUCACCCUCGGCCCGAACUUGCCCUAGGUAUACAGCCGCAAGCUGCUGGGGGCGGCAGCGGCGGCGACCGGCGAAGGAGGUCACCGGGGGUUGGGGCACGACCAAAGGAGGAGCCCAAGGGGAGGGGCCCUCCUGGUUGUGCUCCGGCAGAGGUGGAGGGAGAUGGUGGUGGAGAAGAUGGUGCAGGUGGCAGUUGGCCGGCCGGAGUUCGGCCGGCGGCGGCUGGGGAGUGCGCUACGCACGCGGGUGAGGAAGGAGAGGCGGCUGGGGGUCAGCUGGAGCUAGGGUUAGUGUUUUCUUCCAUGAAAACCCUAGUUAGUUUAUAUAUACAAGGUGGUAAACUUGCAAUUAACCCACCAAGGAUUGGUAUUUUUAGCCGAGUCCCUCAUAGCGCGAGUAAAAUGCGUGUACGUACCUCCACGUUUGAUUUCACACAAAACAGUACAUACACAAAACAGUACAUAAAAUAUAGGGCUUUUUGCAAAAUUUCCGUUUUGCAACUUAUGACCCCUCCUCGAUCCUCGCGCGAUAUCAGGAGAUCCGUCCGUCAGACUUGCGAACGGACUGCGCCAGCGCGUUCAGCAUGUCCGUGGCAUUGACAUCACUAUGUUGUUUCGCCUGAUUUGGUCGCCGAUUCGCGACAAAACCCAUCGUCUCCCGAUCCACCACAUAACACCUAUAUAUAUAUAUAUACNGGUUCAGCUGAUCAUCGCGGCCACGGCGGUGACCGAGUAGUUGUGGGGCGAUGGCGAUGGGUCACAAAGGGAGGGGUUUGAGUCACCCUCGGCCCGAACUUGCCUGCCCUAGGUGGCCACAAAUUGCCAGGGCCAGUAGUGGCGGCAUGCGGGAACGGCGGCGACCGGCGAAGGAGGUCACCGGGGGUUGGGGCACGACCAAAGGAGGAGCCCAAGGGUGAGGGGCCCUCCUGGUUGUGCUCGGACAGAGGCUGAGGAAGGUGGUGAAAUAGAUGAUGGUGCAGAUGGCGGUUGGUCGGCCGGAGCUCGGCUGCAAGCAGCUGGGGAGUGCGCUGCGCACGCGGGUAAGGAAGAAGAGGCGGCUAGGGGUCAGCUGGAGCUAGGGUUAGGGUUUUCCUCUAUGAAAUCCCUAGUUAGCUUAUAUAUACAUAGUGGUAAACUUGCAAUUAAGUUCACCAAAGAUCGGUAUUUUCAGCUGAGUCCCUCACAGCAUGAGUAAAAUACGUGUACGUACCCCCACAUUUGAUUUCACGCAAAAUGGUACAUAAAAUAUAGGGCUUUUCGCAAAAUUUUCAUUUUGCCACUUACGACCCCUCCUCGAUUUUCGCACGAUAUUAGGAGAUCCGUCUGUCAUAUUUGCGAACGGACUAUGCCGGCACGUUCAGCACGAUCGAGGCAUCGAACCCAUGAUUUUGCUUCAUUCGAUUUGGUUGCCAAUUCGCGGCAAAAGCCAUCCUCUCUCCGAUUCUCCAAAACCACAACUAUAUGUGUAAAUAAAUCAAACAAACCUCAAAUUCAAAUUCAAAUUUGAAUUCCCUACCAUUGGUAGGUACUCGAACCAUCCUCCACUCUACUCCAGAAUACACGAACGGAGCACGAGAAGUUUUACAACACAAGAACAACAAAGAACAAAAACCCUCUUUGCAAUAAAAUCCAAUUUUCUUGGAACCCGUGGGUCAAAACCAAACUCCGUCAGCGCCAAUGGGUCCAGGACAAUAGGACCAUUAAAAUCGAGCUAUUGGGUCACUAUAAAUGGAAUCUGAUACUCACCAGAAGCCAUACUACUCAUUGGUCUCUCUGGAAAAACCCGAGCUACUAUUCACUUUAAGUGAUUAGUGAAGAUCGCGUAACUUCUCCAUCCUAACUUGUUUUCUUCUGAAACUUGGCGAGUGCUUAUGUAAUUGAAUUACAUAAAAAUAUCAUCAAUAAGGAAUUUAACUACACAGCAAAAUUCUCAGUCCUCACAAUACAACGAUUGUCAAUCGGGAAGUCGCGUUCUGCCCGCUGUAUAAUCCUAGCUCAGCCGAAACUCAUCUCACACUUGUUGCUAGUAAUUGGCUCUGAUGCACACCACUUCCCAAGGCGUCACCAUCUUAGAACUACUCUAGUUGUAGCAUACUUAAUCCUCUUAAUCUCUUAGAUCUAACCAUCUCUCAAAAUAUUAUAGCAUGGUUACGAGGUUUAGCCCUAUAAUAUCUUACUAGUGAAGGGACCCGCGCUUUGCAGCGGAUAGAAACCGUAGCAGUAAUUAAUAAUAUGAAAAUAUUAAACAUUCUCGUGUGUAUCUCACUUGGUACAUCCACCAAAGGUCUCUCAAUGUUGGCGGAGGAUAUGGGCCCGACGAUGCCUUCUCCGGCGAUGGUGAUAGUGACGGCGACAACGAUCCCUCCGACCGCGGCGGAAGGGGAAAGUGGGCGCGCAUUCAUAAGAGAAAGAGAGAGAGAGAGAGAGAGAGAGAGAGAGAGAGAGAGAGAGAGANCCUCUUAAUCUCUUAGAUCUAACCAUCUCUCAAAAUAUUAUAGCAUGGUUACGAGGUUUAGCCCUAUAAUAUCUUACUAGUGAAGGGACCCGCGCUUUGCAGCGGAUAGAAACCGUAGCAGUAAUUAAUAAUAUGAAAAUAUUAAACAUUCUCGUGUGUAUCUCACUUGGUACAUCCACCAAAGGUCUCUCAAUGUUGGCGGAGGAUAUGGGCCCGACGAUGCCUUCUCCGGCGAUGGUGAUAGUGACGGCGACAACGAUCCCUCCGACCGCGGCGGAAGGGGAAAGUGGGCGCGCAUUCAUAAGAGAGAGAGAGAGAGAGAGAGAGAGAGAGAGAGAGAGAGAGAGAGAGAGAGAAAGAGAGAGAGAGAGAGGGAAGGAGGUGAUGGUGUAUAGCAAAAGAUGAGAGAUAGAGAAUUGAUGAAUAUAUUGAAGAUAAAGAAUUGAAAGUAUGUGGAGGAAAGGAAAAAGGUCAUGAUGAAUAAUUAGAGAUAAAGAGGUUAGGAUUGUAGAUGGUAAGGGGACCAUUUAAAUAUAUUAAUUGGAAGUUAGAUAGUGGAACCCAUUAAUUGAAAUAUAAUGGAUGGGAGGGAAGUGGUCAUUAUGAAUAAUUGUAGAUAGAAACGAUACAAUUGAAUACACUAAUUGAAAGUUUGGUUAGUGGGAUCGUUAAAAUGCAUAUUGAAAAUUUGGUGAAGGGAAGAAGAAGAGUCACAUGCUAGUGAGGAUGAAAGAGAACUUGCCACGUGACAAUAAACAUUAGGAAUUCAUAUAGGUUAAUAGAUAUAUGGGACUAUUCUAAAU